UUUGCAUCUGUCACUUCAACAAUUGGCAGAUGUAUGUCGAUGAUUAGCUUUUAAGAUUUGGACCAUGGAUUCUUUUAUAUUCGGCGUGUUUGUACCUUCUUCUAUGUUAAUUGUGUUUGUAUUUUCAGGUUUUUUUCUUUGUACUUUCAGAUUGGCUAAUUAAAUAAUACAGAAUCUUAAUUGCUUUCCAUGAGAAGUUCUAUAGCACAGGAAUGUCAAUGUAGCGGUAUCUCACAUCAAUUACGCAUUAUUAUAUGAGGAUACUAAAACACAUUACAAUGCGUGAUUGAUUUGAAAUACCGCAAUAAUAACAUCCAUAACAUAGGUAAGUUUUUCAUCGCCCUUAUCAAUCCUAUUGAGUAACCUGUUAGAAUCUUCUCUCCAAAGCCGGCUCUUCUGCGUCAGUUGACCUCCCCCUCCCCCUCCCCUCUUUUCUCCCCCAACUGUGACAAGGACGAGCUCAAAUUUUUGAUCUUAUCUAUGGAAUGAAAUGUAGUUUUUAUUAUUUUUUAAAUCAAACAAAACUACAUACAUUUAAAACUUGUUUGACAAAGAAAAUAAAAAGACAUUCGUUUUAGGCACUAACCGCUUCCACGUGGAACCGUACGUGGGGGGCUAAUAACGGUUUUAACCGAAACUCCAAGGACUCCAAUUUUUCUCACACAAACACUCUGUUUUCCCUCUGAUCUCUCUGCCUCUCAGAGCCGUGAAUGAAGAAUACGACGUCAUAGUGCUCGGAACUGGCCUCAAAGAAUGCAUUCUCAGCGGCCUCCUCUUUGUGGAUGUUCUCAAGGUAAAGCUUAUGUAAAUGGAUAACAUAUAAAAUUGUAGCUUCCUUAUGGUAAGGUUAUUGUCUAACAAAUCUAACCUACUGCUACACAGUAUGACGUACUUUUUUUCUAUGAUGUUGAUAUGAUCCCCAAAGUAUCAAGAAUUAAUGAUGCAUAUAUUUCUUCCUAUUGUUCUUUGAUUUCUUCUUUGAUUCAUUUUCUCUUUUUGCUUAAGAUUGUAUAUGUUGAUAGGCUGUCAUGUUAAUUUGUUUGUCCGUAAAUAUGUGAUUAGGUUCAGUCACUCAUAUGGGCUAGCAAAGUGAAAAAAAAAAAAGCUCGAGGAAACCAUAUACAAAAGGUUGUGUAAAAUAGAACUAUUAAUAUUAUAUAGAUAUAAUAAUAAAAAAUUCAAAAAUAAAUAUAACAUACAAAAUCCAAAAAAAGAAAGGAAACACAUGCACUAGCACUACAAUUCAAACAUGCAUGAAUACUGUCUGGCUUUCUUGUUUUACUUUCUUUCUUUUUUCCUUCUACAUAUUUCAGCCCCAAUGAGUUUUACUCCUUUUGUGUGUGGUUGAGGCAAUUAUAUACAAUACGCUUUCUGUCUUUGGCUACCUAAAAAGUCAAGAAUGAGCCAUGCCUUUUGGUAUUACUGAAACUGAUACUGUGUUCAGGAUUUCAGAUUCUCCAUUCGAUUGGCUAUUCCUUAUAAUUAUGUACAUGUAUUUUGUUAUUUAGAGAGAGAGAGAGAGAGAGAGAGAGAGAGAGAGAGAGAGAGAGAGGGAGGGAGAGAGGCAAGUGUACAAACUAGAAUAAGUGAUAUCUCUCUAGCAAUCCAAGCCUUGAGUGUUGGUCAUUUGAGCUGCAAAUCUUGGUCUCUGGCUCUGGUCUUUUACAAAAUCCGGCUGUUUCCUUUUUGUGUAACUUCUCAGAAACAGAGAAGAUGAUCUUCUAAGAAUUAAGUAGGACUUUCAAAACCAAUUUUUCAAUUUGAUCUCUGCGCUACAUAAAAUAUAAAAAAUUAAUACCUCUGCUGCGAUGUUUCUUGUAUUUUUACUUGUAUGUGUAUGCAUUAUUCACAUUUGCAUUGUCACAUUAUGGAUUUAGUUUUGAAGUGAGAAUCUUACUUGGAUUUCUCGCAGACCACCUAUGUAAUUCAGCACAACCUACUACCAUCUAGUUUUCUACAAGCACAAGCUCUUGAGAUGAAAUCAAAUUUAUCAUAUGAGUUAUCCCCUAGGGUAAGUUUCAAUGUUACUUACUAUAUAUGAGAUCACUGUAGGUUAGUUGGUUGAGCUUUGAUUUUGUUUACUUCUCAUUUUGUAUCUCAAGGCUAAAAAGUUGGAAGAUUGGUUCAUCCUUUGCGUUAAAAAGACCUAAAGAAACCCAGCUACUUCUAUGUAAGGCAUCUUGGUUCUAAUUAUUUAUUUAUGUUUUUGUGAUUUUUUUGUAGUGUUUGUCAACUUUGUGAGAUUCUUUCGGGGUUAACUGCAAUUUUUGUGAUUCUUUUAACCACAGCAAGCUGCAAAAUUGUGAGUUGGAAUCACAAGGAAAGCUUGUAAAAAUUGAAAUGGUGUUGGAGCUCAUUUUGCUGUUAAGCCAUUUGUCUGUGUUAGAUGUGCGUGGGCUGCUGCAUGUUGGUGCUCUAGGCUAAUUAUUUUGGGACUUUGAUUCCAAGAAAAUAAUGAAGUUUCCCGAGAUCCUUCAUAGAAAAUAUAAGUUGCCUGAUCGCCGAAUCAAAUGAGAAAUUUGUUCUUGAUCAUUGCCAAUUAUAAGGAUGUCAUCGACAUAAAUGAGCAGAACCAAAUAGAUGCCUUGUUAAUUGUAAACAAAGAGUGUGUAGUCACAUUUGGACUCAUGAAAUCCAAGCUGCAAAAGAUAUUCAGAGAAUCAUUGAAACCAAGUUUGUGGAGCUUGUUUCAAUCCAUAUAGACUACGCUUCAAUUUACACACAUGAGAUCGAAAUUGUUGAUCCACAAAGCCAGUAGGUUGUUUCAUAAACACAUCUUCAUAGAGAUUUGCAUGUAGAAACGCAUUUUAUACAUCAAGUUUGUGAACCUGCCAUCUAUUGCUCACGGCCAGGCUAAGGACAAGACGAAUGGUGCUAUGUUUGACCACGAGAUUGCAGGUUUCACUGUAGUCGAUACCUUGUUGCUGAUGGAGACCAUUGGCAACAAGUCUGGCCUUGUAUCUCUCUAUUGAUCCAUCUGCUCUCUUCUUUACUUCGAACACCCACUUAUUUGGAAGCAAAUUCAUAUGAGGCUGAUAAAGAACUAGCUGCCAAGUACCAUUAUGUUGCAAAGCAUUAAAUUCCUGAGCCAUUGCAUGUCUCCAUUCCUCCUGUUUCGUUGACUGACUAAAACAAGUAGGUUCAAUGCAUUAGUAUCCAUAAUAACAUGUAGAGCAUAUCUGGGAUUGGGUUUUGGAACACCCAACUGAGACUUGGUCGCCAAAGGAUGAUGAGAAAUAGCUUGAGAAACCUGCGGGACAAUAUCUUCAUUUAUUGGCUCAUUAGGAGUUGGGAAAGGAGUAAGUGUUGGAGUGGGAGAAGGAGAUUGAUUUAAUUGCACAUCGUCAGGCGUGCAAUGAGGAAGUGGAGGUGAAGUAGGAUUGUUUCUUGUAGGCAACGAAACAUAACCUGAUGGCAAAUUGAAUUAGUUGUUUCUGGAAAAGUAAACAAAAUUGCAGAAUCAAAAUUGGCACCUGUGUGUUCGACGCUUCCCUUGGAAGAUGUGAGUUCCUAAAAUGGAAAAACGUCCUUAUCGAAUAGGACAUGGCGAGACAAAUAAAUGCGUCUUGUGGAUAAAUUCAAACACUUAUACCCUAAUGGUUAAGAGAAUAUCCUAAGAAUACACAAGUUUUUUUUAUUUUGGUUGUAAUGUAUAUUUAUUAUAUGGAGUGAGCUAGGGAAAACACCUACACCCAAAGACUCGAAGCAUGUCAUAUGAAGGAGUUUUAUGAAACAAUUUUUCAAAAGGAGACAUAUGGUUUAGCACACGUGUGGGAAGGCGAUUUAUGAGAUAAGUGGCAGUUUGGCAGGCUUCUAGCCAAUAAGAGGUAGGAAUGUGAGCAUGGUUAAGCAUGACAAUAGCAGUUUCAACGAGAUGAUGAUGUUUCCUUUCUACAAGGCCGUUUUGUUCUGGAUGUUUAGUAAUUCCAUGUUUUGCCAAAAAUUAUUGAAAGGCUAGUUUUGUGUACUGGCCUCCUUCUUCACAUUGAAGAGCUCUUAUUGAGGUGUUGAGCAUUUUUUCUAUUUGUUUUUUAAAUUUGAUAAAAAUAUCAAAUACUUCAUAUUUUUGUUUCAUGAGAAAUAUUCUAGUGUAUCGAGAGAAGUCAUCAACUAAAAGAAAAUAAUAAAGAAAGCCAUGAACUGAAACAAUUAGUGAACUCUAAACAUCGGAGUGUACAAGAGCCAAUGGAGAUAAAAACACAGAAUCUGAAAUUGGAAAUGGUAAUUUAGUGCUUUUACCUAAAGGACAUGAAGAACAAAAAGGUACAUGAGAGGAGCCACUAAUUGGCACUUUAUUAUUUGAAAUCAAAUUCUUUAUUAUUUCACUAGCUGGAUGGCCUUGGAGAGAAUGCCAUUUUUGAAUUGAGACACGAGUUCCUAUGAAAGCAGAAAAAGAUUGAUUGGAAAAUCCCCCGCUAUUUGUGAAUGGAUAUAAUCCAUUCUAACACCUUCCUUGGAAAAACGUCUUCUGUGUCUUGAGGUCCUUCACAAAAAAACAAUCAAGAAAGAUGAGAAUAUAGCAAUUAUUGUCGGAAGUGAAACGAUGAACGAAAAUCAAAUUUGUAGAAGCAAAAUGGCAAAAGCGUUUUUGGUAGAAAAUAAAAACAGAAAAUAGAAACGGGACCUAGAAAACGUUACCAAACGACUCAUAAGUUGUAAUUGACUUACCAAACGACUCAUAAGUUGGAAUAUGUAUGAAUAUUGAGCUGCACGUAAAGUAGAUGAGACACAGCAUUUAACGAGGUUCGGCUAUGCCUACGUCCUCGGAGAGCAGCAGCAGUAACUUUUUCACUAUAUAAAAUAAUAGGGCUACAACUUUAGAGUUUACAAUAUGUGAGGCUCACUGAAUUUUCUCUUUCUUUCUUCUUUUUCUCUUCUUUUCUUUCUUCUUUUCUCUUCUUCUUCUCUCUUCUUUUUCUCUUCUCCCCUUUCUUUCUUUUCUCCGUUGGUCACACUCCCCUUUACAAUUGGUAUGCCUAUUUAUAGGCUAAUGUUUAGGCAAAAUACAGGGAAGGGAAGGUUCCUGGAAGAUGCAAGGAAACUUUCUGAAUUGAUAAAUACAGGGAAGGAAAGUUCCUGGAAGAUGCAAGGAAACUUCCUGAAUUGAUAAAUACAGGGAAGGGAAAGUUCCUGGAAGAUGCAAGGAAACUUCCUCUGUGGGCUCCACCUUCAAACUUUUACAACACUCCCCCUUGGAGACCACAAAUGAUAUGGAAUAUGCCUCGUUAAAAACCUUGCCAGUAAAAACCCAGUGGGACAAAAACUGUUCGAAGGGAAAAAGAGUACAUAAUCACGUGUAACACAAAAUUCUGUGUAUAUUGACGCGCGUGCGACACUGCCUCGUUAAAACCUUGCCAGGAAAAACCCAGUGGGAUAAAAACCUGGACGAAGGAAAAAGAGUACAGUGUGUAAGGGUCUGUAUUGACAGCACGCUCCCCCUGAUGCUUGGCAAAAUAUCUUUAAGCCAUACUGUUGAUCAUCUGUCUGAAUAUCAUAGUUGACACUGCUGCUGUGAGUCAAUAGUGUAUGAAGGUCUUUAUUAAUACCAUGCUCCCCCUGAUGAAUAUCUCCCCCUGAAAACUUCAUGACUAGCUUUUUCCAGUAAGCGACCAUAGAGAUUUCCUGAGUCCGCAUAUCUUAGAACACUUGGGCUAUUUAUAAGUUCACUAAAAAAUAUGCCCGUAUAUGGUGUUAUGCUUAGAUAGCAUCAAAUAUACCUCACAUCAUCCCAAAAUGAUGGUGAUGGAGUUGAGCCCUAUUUGGAAAAUAUGAUGUCCGGUCCAAUAUACUUCCGCAAAAUCAUUAAAGUGUCCAACGGAUAAUCCUCAUAAAAAUACUUCAAUAUUUUCUUAGUAUAAGCAAGAAUCUCGUUGGCAUAAUGCUCGAUCCUUAAGUCGAGACAAAUAUUUCGUGAAUUCUGCAGAAGCUUUAAUGUGUUGCAAUCACAUUAUAAUCAAUGUACUCACUGAGGUAAUUUAUGCAUAUUAAUAUUGAGUACAAAUUUUGUGCUUCAAGCACAUGCCCUUUAGGGACUUGCUUUAUGCAAUGUCAAUCCUCUCAACGGAUUUUGUUUUAAAGGGAUUAAACUUUAUGACACAUUAUAUAGCUUUAACACAGCUAUUUAUACAUCUUUAGGGAAUCGCUUCUGGCGAUAUGCUCCGUGCAUUUAAUAACCCUUAAAGAUAAUAUGUUGGUCUCCGUAAUUGUGUAAUAAGGGGGGCACAAUUGAAUCUGUAAAUAUGGAGAAAACCCAACAUUCCUUGUUUCUGCCAGAAACAGUGUGUCAUACAAAGUAGAUAUAUUUCCUUUUAUUCCGAACAUCCAAGUAUAACUUUCAGUAUUAACAAAUUUUGGGGUUCGUAUUGUGGGUUUGUUCUUUCACGUUCAUUCUCAUUUAUAAUGGAAUUACCUCGUUCCAUUUUGGCCAAUGAUAUUGUCGACAUUUAAUAAUUGAACGUGGUUCCAAUCAACACAGCCCAUUGAUGAUUUGAGUAGCUACUCCAAAAUCAAAAAUUGUCAUUCAUCAAUUCAUGAUCUCACAAUUCUCAUGUGCAUGCGCAUGCAUCAAUUAUAAGCAUUCCUUUGCUUUUGGGUACCCAAGCCACUUCAUGGGGCUUUUAUUAUGUGAGAAUGUGGAUUAUAACCUCCAUUGGAGCGUUAUUUUACAUAGGGCGUGGAAAAUCUCCAUUUAGGGAGUUGGAACAUUUAGAACCCAUAUAUCUGUCAUGCUGCAGGCAUGCCACAGAUUAAUACAUACAUGUCAAUUAAUUUCUGGGACCUUAACCCAUAUUAUGGGACUUUAACCCAUAUAAUUUGCUACGCAUUAGGCGUGCAUAAUAUCAAUAUUGACAUGUCAAAGGAUUGUCCUUUCGGGACUUCAAUCCAUAUCAUUUGCUACGCAAUAGGCGUGCAUCAUAUUGAUCACUGCUAUACCCAUAUUCUGUUCUUAUGGGACUUUAAUCUGUGCAGUGUAUUAUCAAUGUAUCCAACUUGCAAUCUGUAAAAUUUGCGUUAAUAAUUCAUGGAUACAUACAAGUCAUUCUUUUGGAAUGGACUUAUCUCCCCAUUUGGUUACCUUUCAAGAUAAAAUAUCAAAUAGGUAUAUAAGCAUAAAAUAACACAAGUAUUGCUUACAUCCUUAGGUGGGAGAAACUUUUCUCAAGUAUCAUUCAAGCUCAUAUCAGCCCAGUAAAUAUAAUGUAGCGCUUGAUGAUCUAGUUAUAUCCUGCAAGAGCAAAAAUCACAACUCUUUUGCCUCUGUCAAAACAAAUAACCCUCAUAGUUAGGAUUACUUCAUGGAUUCAUUCUUCAGAUGUUCAUUCUAAAGAAAUAAAAUCUCUUAUGAACAGAGAGUUAUAAAAAGAGAAAAAAUGCAAAAAUAAUGUGAUAUUGAUUGCAAGAGAAGGUAAGCAAUCAGGGAAGGAAGCUGGUGGGAGCAGACAAUAAGCUUUCAUAUCUCCUAGUCUAGAAGGACUCCCGGAGAUUAGAGUAUAAGAUCGCCUUCACAGUUUCCUAAUGUAGUGGAAACGUGAUCAGGGAUAGUCUUGCUUCCUGAAUGGAUGAUCAGAGAUAGUCUUGCUUCUCAGGCAUAUUGAGUGCUCACUGAUAAGAAAAAUAAGUAGAUAUCGUAUCACUAAGUAUGGAGUAACCUGGAUGUCUUUUGCAAAGAAAAAUUUCGUUAGUAACACAUUUAUACACAAAUACAAUGAAUAGGUAGAACCGGUAAAUUUCAAAUUAACCAUAAGAAAAUUGCGAGAUUCUCGGGAUACUUUUGAAAAAGUAGCUCCGUGAAAUCCGUAAAGCAAGAUCAGCUUUGAAAAUAAUACUUUGAAAAACGCCGAAAGUGCCGACAGGCAUUAUUAGAGGCCACGUGAAGUUUUGGACUCUGGGAAAGAAAAAGAUAAUAUGGGGAUUCGAGAAGACAUUGGAGUCCUGAAAAGUUGCCACAUUUUCGUCUAUAGAUAUUGCCUUUGCAAACUGCGUUUCAACUCAAUUUCCUUCAUUUUCUGAACCUUUAGUUUUUUCUAAGACUUUCUUCGAAACCUUCUUAAAAAAAUGGCUUCCUCUUCUUCCUGCCCAAAUUAUUUCAAUUUAAAUGAUGCUCCCACAACAACCAGUGACGCCCAAGUUUGGCGUCCAUCCUUUGUAUCCAAAAAUCGUCAUCUCACAGUUAAUGAUUCUGUGAUGAUGAAUGAUGCUACUACUGUCAUAGUAGCUAGGAAUUUCAUUACUCCAAUGGAUGAAAUGUUGUUGACAGGGAGAUCAGAGGAAGAGGCUAUUGAUGACUCAAUGGCUUUUAGCAUUCAGAGUGCUGCUUCUGUUUCUAACAUGGCUGAUCGUUUGCGUGCUAGAGCAAACGAGGUUGAGAAGCUGACAACUGAAAAUUCGUCUCUUCAAAGAAUGCUUCAUGAGUCUCAACAGGAGGUUGAGAAACUUAAAGGAGAGAAUAAUUCCUUGUUGAAACUGGUGAGUUCGUACUCUGUUGAUACACUGAGAAGGCUAGACAUGCUGCAGGUCUCCAAUGAAAGAAUUUUGGGAGACCACGAGAAGCUCAUGGCUAAGCUUAAGAGGCGCCGUCAUCUUCCUGCAGAGGCUUCCAGAACAUAAUGUAAUUUUUUAUAGAUUUCACAGGGCCUGCACCUUUAUUGCAAGUGGAAAAAAUCUAUCUGUUGUAUGUUCCUGUAAUAAUAAUUGCGCACAUUCUUAAACUUGCACCUGUGGUUUUUACGUCUUUUCAAAAUGACGGUUUGGAACCUUGUGCCUUAUAGGUUCAAAUAACCACAUUGUCUCUCCCAAAUUGCAUGGUAGCCCGGAACUUUUGGCAUGGGCACAAACUCAGAAUUUAUUUGCCCUUUUCAAAUGGACAUGAAAUGUGAAUUGAGUAAAAGUCAUGAUAAUAUCGCAAUAUAGUAGUGAAGAGCAUUAACUACUAUAUACCCACAACUUCAAGUUUAGGAUCUCUCAUAUAUUUGGAUCCAUGGGCUUCCGGCUCAGAUAUAACAAAAUAUGUAGGGAGUCUCAAUUCAUUAUUUGAGGUUUAUAUUGAUAUUAUCCAUUUCGCGGUGUAUUCUUAACAACCGGAAUUCACAAAAUAUAUUUCUUCCUUGAGGUGUCGAUUAUAACAAAAUCGAACUUUAAAUUCAUCAUCUUCUUAUGCCAAAGAAAUAUGUGACAUACCACAAUUUGCAAUAAUACCUCAAGGGUUGUCCAUUUAAUUGUUGGAACUUCAGGUUCUCAACACUGUUAAAUUUUGAACUUCAGGCCAAAGCCACAUAUUCUCAUGGUAUGGACAUUUUUACAAUUUUCUGUACAUAUUUCGGGACUUCAAGCCCUUACAUAAUUGUCCAUAUUUUGAGGAACUUCUGGCAUCUCAUUUAAUUGCUCAUCCAUGAGUUUAAGGAAUUGCAGGUUCCCUUUUGUAUAUAAUGACGGUUUACCCAAAAUGGUUAAUAUUUAUGCAUACGUCACUAUUCAUGUGAAUAGUACUAUUCAUCAAGUCAUGAAUACGUAUCUAUUCAUCUGCCAAUACAGUUAUCAUCAAUGUGUACGGUACUAUGAACCAAUACGGUACUGUUACAUCAUUAAGGAACUCUAGGUCCUUAUUUACAUGUCAGGAAUCAAGGACCUUUAAGUCCAAUCACAUGUUUACAAAUACAGUACCGGUGAGACUGCCAGCUCUCAUUUUAAUAUCAUCAUCAAGGAUUUUCAAGUCCUGAUGUAAUUGUAUGAUGAGGAUCAAGGAACUUCUGGUCCUGAUCUGCAUACUGGAAAAACUCAUCAUACAGCACAAUUAAUCCAUAAAAUAAAUUGCUGAUAAAUAAAUUACUGGUAUGGACGAUAAACCCGCACCACACUUUAAAUAAAUGUAAAUGUGCGGUAAAUUAAAUUCAUAAAGUUAAGGUGCUUGUAUGGGCAUUAAUUCUGCUCCAUACAUUUAAAUAAAAGUAAAGGCGUGGACGAUAAACCCGCACCACCCUUUUAAAUAAAUGUAAAUGUGCGGUAAAUUAAAUUCAUAAAUUAAGUUGCUUGCUGUAUGGACGUUAAUCCCGCACCAUACUUUAAAUAAAAUUAAAUGUGCGGUAAAGUAAAUUGUGCUUGUAUGGGCACUAAUUCUGCUCCAUACAUUUAAAUAAAAGCAAAGGCGUGGACGAUAAACCCGCACCACCCUUUUAAAUAAAUACUGUUGUAUGGGUAAUAAACCUACACCAUACAGUAAAUAAAAUAAAUAUGCGGUAAAAUAAAUUUGCGAUAAAGUAAAGGUGCAUGUAUGGGUAAUAAACCUACACCAUACAGUAAAUAAAUGUGGGGUUAAAACCACCACCGAAUAAAAUAAGAAAAAGUUAGUAUUAGUAACGGUCUCCCACUGAUAAUAUGUUUAGUAUUACCAAGGGUCCAUUUUUGUUAGUGGUUAGUAGUAUAGAUAAUAGUGCAGCAAAAAAAUUAUACCUGAGAGCUUCUCGUGCUGAUAACGUGUUAUAAAAAUAACCUGGAAUAUGUAUGAAUAUUGAGCUGCACGUAAAGUAGAUGAGACACAGCAUUUAACGAGGUUCAGCUAUGCCUACGUCCUCGAAGAGCAGCAGCAGUAACUUUUUCACUAUAUAAAAUAAUAGGGCUACAACUUUAGAGUUUACAAUAUGUGAGGCUCACUGAAUUUUCUCUUUCUUUCUUCUUUUUCUCUUCUUUUCUUUCUUCUUUUCUCUUCUUCUUCUCUCUUCUUUUUCUCUUCUCCCCUUUCUUUCUUUUCUCCGUUGGUCACACUCCCCUUUACAAUUGGUAUGCCUAUUUAUAGGCUAAUGUUUAGGCAAAAUACAGGGAAGGGAAGGUUCCUGGAAGAUGCAAGGAAACUUCCUGAAUUGAUAAAUACAGGGAAGGAAAGUUCAUGGAAGAUGCAAGGAAACUUCCUCUGUGGGCUCCACCUUCAAACUUUUACAACACAUUGGAAUUUUUAGUUCUAUUUUGGAAUUCCCCAGGAUUCAUGUUACUUAGAAAAUAUUGUUGUCUUCUUUAGGUAUGAAUCCUACAGAUUUUUUUUUUAAAUUCUGUCAGUAACUACUUUAUUUUUCUCCUAAAUUUAACGAGUGCUGCUAUUUUCACUCACCUGUCUUAUUUUCCCACCUAUUAUAUCUUCAAAAUUUUAAAGACAAAUUUAUCCCUUUAUAAAAUGAUUUUUAAAGACUUAAGAAAAAAAACAUUAAAAUCAAUUUAAAAAAUGAGAAAAAGAUAGUAAAAAAAAUACUAAAAAGAUUAACCCCACCUCACCCCAUCAUCUGUUCCGCGCACCCUUCCUUCUUCUCUAUUUUCCCUCUUUGUUUCUUUAAUAGUCACCGCCCCACCACAAUCAAAAGAUACCAAGCAGAUCCACCCCCAAAUUUUCAGUAUUAAUAAUAUGAAGGGACUUUUAACUGAGAUUUGAAUCAGCCCAGCAAUUCUAGGCUCUCAAAGUCUGCACCUCUCAACUGAGAGAGAGAGAGAGAGAGAGAGAGAGAGAGAGAGAGAGAGAGAGAGAGAGAGAGAGAGAGAGAGAGAGAGAGAGUAGCAUCUGGGUUGAGUUGUGUGGCUAGGGUGCUGGGCUGUAGGAGGUAAGUUUGAUGGGUGGGGUGUGAUGAAAUUGGUGGGGAGGGGAUCGGGUAAAACCAUAGUAUGAAAUAUCGAUAAUAUCGAAGAAAUAUCGAUAAUAUCGAAGAAAUAUCGAGGAUAUUUCGGUUUUUUCGAAUCACGGAUAUUUCGGAACAUAUCUAUGUACAUAUCGUAUAAAUAUCGACAAUAUCGACGAUAAUAUCGAAAAAUAUCGAUGUCGAUAAUUUCGCUCACAUUUCAGCAAUAUUUUGUCAAAAUAUCAGUGUAAUAUAGCUAAAAUAUCGAAAAUAUCGAUGUAAAGGAAAAAAAGAAAAAAAAAAGGGAAAAAUGGGAGAAAAAAGCACAAUGAACCCCUCUCAUUUUACUCCUCCAACACCUUAACCACCAUAUCACUUAUGUUUUUGUGAUAAUAUGCUCAAAUAUUUAUAUUUAUAUGGGUGACAUGUUAACAAUUACAUGCAAAACUAUUUUGGGGAUUUAUCAUUUGAUGACUACUCUUCACAAUACACUUACUCUACACAUAGAGAUGAUGAAGUUAGUGAAAAAUUUGAACCUCAUAGGAACUCUAUGUGGUACUAAGUCACUCAUGUAUCUUACCAUACAAUGUAUAAAGUGUAAAAUAUUGUAGUAAAUCAUUAUAUAUAAAUGAUUAUGGUAUGUUUAAUCUUUUUUCAAUAAUUACUACAUAUUUUUUAUACUCAUAGUGUUUGCCCGCUUGCUGUAUAAUCAACUUAAAUCAGUUAAAUUCAUCAUGCAAUGCAUUUCCUUCUAAUUUUUUGUGAUAAACUAAUAGAUAAUUGACUAAAUAAACAUGCUCCAAAGUUUCAAUAAAAAUUUCCAAGUUUUUCUUACAAUUUCCCUAGUUUUUAUUCAAUUUUUAUCUAUAUCGAUAAUAUCCCGAUAUUUCUAUUGAAAUUUCCAUGUUUUUGGACUACCGAUAUUUCCGAUAUCAUCGAUAUUUUAGACUUUGGGUAAAACAGAGAGAAAUAGUUUUUUUUGGAGUACUUUAUAUUGUUUAUUAAUUAAUUAAUAAUAUAUUAUUAUUUACUUGGUAGGUGGAAAGAUAAUGGGUAUUUUAGGAAUAGUAAUGAGUGAAAAGAUGAGAUUGUGUUUUUUUAAAUUUAUAUGGUAAGUUAAAAAAUAAAAUAUAGGAGUGGAAAUAGCAGCACUCAUUUAAAAAUUUCUGAAUUCGUCACUGGUUACAGUAAUAAUAAAUAAAUGCACCGACCAACCUGUUUUGGACAAUAAACAACUAAUUAACCAUGAUGUCCUUUUUCCUUCUCAAAUGCACCUACCUUUCCAAAGUAUCUACCACCAUUACUUUAUGCCAGCCAUCAUUACGUUCGAUCCCAUUCCAACAUUAUUAUUUAAGAAUUAACAUUAAAUAAUUAUAUUUGACUCCAUCAUAUUUUCUAAUUAUAAUAUAGUAAUUACUCCUUUCGUGAUAGCCACUCUUCUAAGAUAUACGAAUUCCUGUCAGUUUUAUUUGGCUGCUUAUUUGUAAGAGCAUCUCAUGUUCAUAUAUUAAAAGACAAGACCCGUGAUGAUAGGAAAAAUGAGUUGAACUACUACCCCAAGAUAUAAUGACUAUCAUGAGGAUUAGGUAACGUGGUUAGCUAAUAUGAUUUAUCUAAUCGCUUCUAAUAAGGUUUUUCUGUGCAGGGAAGGUUAGAUUUUUUUUUUUUUUUCCAAAGUCAGAAGAUAGAAACGUGAAUUGGAUUGUUAGACGUUGAUUUCUCUUCUUUAGACAAUUGAUAAAUUUAGUCGUAGUGUCCUUCUGAAAUGCUUGUAAAUAGCUUGAUUUACUACAAAAACACCUGCUCCAUCAUUGAUCUUAAAUCAUUACAUAUAGAGUGCGAAUGGAGUUCUUGUGGAGGCUGGGUAGUUUUUUAAAAUAUUUUAUUUUUAUAAAUAAAAUUUUUAAUUAUUUCAUUUGUAAAUAUGUAAUAAAUUUUUAAAUUUAUUUAAAUAGAGUGUAUUGGAAGUAUUUCUGGUAAUCAAAUAUGAUGAAAUAGAACGAGUUGUAAAAAUAACAACACUCUUAUUUAUAUAUAUUUUUCAAAAAACCACCGACUUAUCUUAUUGUAAUUUGUUGUAAAGUUUUUGUGUGGAGCCCACUAACUAUUCAUUUGGAGACUUUUGGUAGAGUUUGUCGGCAACUUCUUCUUACUGCACACUCACGAGAGUUGCACCAAUCUGCCUAUAAAUAGGCAACCUGCAAAGUUAAAAAGAAGAGAAGAUAGAAAAGAAAGGGAGAAACGGAAAGAAAGAAAGAGAAAGGAGGAAAGAGAAGAGGAAAGAGAAAGGAGGAAAGAGAAGAGGAAAGGGAAAGGGGGAAAGGAGGAAAGAGAAGAGGAAAGAGAGUCAGGCAGAGAAGAGGAAGGGAAGGAAGAAAUAGGGUGAGUGAGCAGAGAGAAAAUUCAGUGAGCCUUACAUAUUGUAAACUCUAAAGUUGUAGUUCUAUUAUUUUAUUUAGUGAAAAAGUUACUGCUGCUGCUCUCCGAGGACGUAGGCAUAGCCGAACCUCGUUAAAUGCUGUGUCUCAUCUACUUUACGAGCAGCUCUGAAUUAUCGCACAUAUCCCAGGUUAUUUUUAUAACAUAAUUGACUUAUUGAGAGAGCACUCCCAUUGAUCGUGCUUAGAGCUCCACUCACUUGAAAUCUUAUUGUUUUUUUUUUUUUUUAAUAGUAAAGAUGAACUUUCAUUAAUAAAGACCAAAAAGAGGUCAAAGAAGCACCGAGACUACACAACCAGUCAAACGGCAUUAACAAGAAAAAGAAACCAAAGCGACAAGAAAAGGUAAAACUAAAGAAAAGCUACAAGGGAAAGUAAAAUAAAAGAGGAAAACACAGCACAGCCAACGAACAACAUCACAUAUUUUUUUUACUUGGUAACUGGUUCAGGUUGUGGGCUUCGAGGAAAUUGAUCUUAUAAUAUUCAAGAGUAGGCAAGUGGAUUCCAACAAAAAAAGAGACAAGGCAAGUGGAUUCCAAACAAACAAAAAAAGAGUAGGCAAGUGGAGCAUCUGGAAUUUGAUCUGAAAAAUCCGCGAGCAAUCCUUAUCAAAAAGACUUUUAUGAAAUGAAAGUAGUAUUAUUAAUAAUAUUUUCAGUAUUAUUGGUUAUGAAUAAAAUAAUUAACAAAAUAAUAUUAUCCCCUAUUGCAAGUUGCAAGUGGUCCGAAUGGAAAGUAAUAGUUAAAGAAACGGAUUCCAUUCUACCUCAAAUCAUUGGAAAUUCGUACCUAUUUGAGAUUUAAAAAUAAUUUUUUACUUAUUAAUAUAGCUGUCAACAUUUAAUUAGUUGAAUGGGAUCCAUUAGUGACUGGGAUCAUAGAAGAUUGUCUCACACCCCCAAUUUGGUACUAUUUAUCGCUUCCGCUAGAGCAAAAUAGAUAUACAUCUUUUCUUCCUGGCUUUGGGAUAUAUAGAUAGAGAAAUAAAUUUUUAUUGAUAAGUUGGGUUUAAUUCUCCGAUUUCUAUUUAACACGUUUGUCAUUGAAUAAAAAAGAAAAAUCUUGCAAACAUAUUUCAAAAACCAUGUUGUUACAAACAGUCAUUAAGGGCAAAUGUAAUUGCUACAAAUAUAUUACAUAAACCAUUAUUGGACAAAUACAUUUACUACAAAUGUAUUACAUGAAAGGACCAGCCCCGAAUUUUCUCAAAACUCGAGACGAACCCUUUGGAAUUCCUGACAUCACCCCGAUGCCAGGCCCACUUACUAAAAACCGAGACUUCCUGCCGAAAUUUCGGCAGAGUCUCCCCUAUAAAUUGGACAUUUCCCAAAAAUUUCAACCUGCAUAAAAACGCAUUUAAUAUUCCCAAUUGGCAGCAUGCACAAUAUAAUUUCAUGCAAUUCACACAAAUGGCCUUCGGCCUUCCAAUAAUUCUUAACUAACUACCAAACAAAUCAAAUACCAAUUAUGACUAGCAUUUAGUCUGCGGCUGCACCUAAUAACCUUAGGCUGCCUACGUACCCUCCUUGAGGGAUCAAGCCACACGUAGUUCUUCCCUAAAACUCAGUUCCACACUUGGGCGAUGCCUUAUUUCAUUUCUCGGUAUUUCAUGGAAUCUCCCCAUACGCCGGUACAACCAACGCCACGUAUGGGGCCUGUCAACACGCCGGAUAACCUACGCCACGUGCGACCAUGCCAUACUAUCAUAAUAUCUCCCCAUACGCCGGUACAACCAACGCCACGUAUGGGGUCUGUCUCAACGCCGGAUAACCUACGCCACGCGAGACCUGCACAUCAUAUCACAUAACUCCCCAUACACCGGUACAACCAACGCCACGUAUGGGGCCUGUCCCAACGCCGGAUAACCUACGCCACGCGGGACCUCAAUAUCAUAUCAUAAAGCUCCCCAUACGCCGGUACAACCAACUCCACGUAUGGGGUCUGUCGACACGCCGAAUAACCUACGCCACGUGCAACCUCAACAUAAUAUUACAUAGCUCCCCAUACGCCGGUACAACCAACGCCACGUAUAGGGCCUGUCCCAACGCCGGAUAACCUACGCCACGCGGGACCUAACUUUCACUUGGUGGUACUUGUAGUGGAUCCAACAUCCGAGGAGGUACCUAAAGUAGUGCGUAUAGCACUCCAAACUGACACUUUAGACUCUGUUGUACCCUUGUACAACCAUAUAUAAUUAUAGUUAUAUAAAUUAAUUCUAAUAUUGUGUAACCCUCCACAAUCAUCUAGCACCCGAUAAUCCCCCCUAGAAAGGUGAGAUUACUCCGGGAGACUCACGGUCAACCAAGGAUCAAACUACUCUAACCCUGGUCAACCGGACCUGCAAAACCCACGACCUCCAAUUUCCGAUCCGGAAGUCCCUAUGGGUUCUACCAGGUAUAGGACACUUGUCCUGCAAGUUUGGUUCAGAUCGGACGGUCGGAUUGCUCACGAUCGCACGAUCUGACGGUUAAUAUAAAAUAUAGACUUAAAAUUAUUAUUCGGAACAUCCGGGGCUCCGAUUCACGAUCCGUGAAUUCCUACACGAUCCUAGAAAUACCUAGAUUAACAUAUAUUAAAUUUGGGACCAUCCGACGGUCCCAACCUAUCAAACCCGGAUAACGCAUAAUAUGCGAUUAUCCGUUCGAUAGUCAAACGACGUCCGAAUUGAGAUCCGCGAAAUCCUACGCACUCGUGACAACCUAAGGAUCUCAUCGGAACACAUCGCUACUUUUCUACAGUGCCCACGCGCCGCCGCACGCUCCGGCAACGCGUGGGUGCCCAAAGCGAUAACGCUUCGCCGGAAAAUCUCAACAUCUCGGCUCCAAACUCCUACCCUAGGUAUAACACCCUAUUUGGAGCCACUUUUGUUCUUGGACCUAUCCCAAAAAGUGGCCGGAAAUGGCCGAUCACGGCGGCCGAAGUUUCGGCCGAUUUUCAAUUCGAAAAUUGAGUUGCUUAGCUAAGAAUCGAUCUAAUCCUACCCAACCAUCAGCUAGAGCAGCUCGAGAGGUUCAAAAUCCAUAUCUGGGUCGACGGAUUUGGUGGCCGGAGGAGGAAGAUCGACGGCGUUGAAGUUCCGGCGACAUCCGGGCGAAAAUCGCCAUUUUUCGGCGGCUGGAGCGGCGGCCGAUGGCGGGGAUGGGCUGGGUCGUGACGCCGAGGUCGAGCCGGUUCUUUUGACACCGGCCCCGUCCGCAGCCGCGGCCGGUGGCCGGAGUUACGAAGAGAGAGAGAGAAGAGGCCGACGGGAGAGAGAGAGGAGUCGCGAGAGAGAGAGAGAGAGAGAGAGAGAGAGAGAGAGAGAGAGAGAGAAAACCAGAUUUUUAUAAAAAAUCUCAUUUCGAAAUAUUUACGAUUGUGCCACUGGGCUUCUCUUGACCAUAUCUCUCUCGUUACAACUCCGAUUCGAGCCCACUACGUGUCUAUGAACUCGUCUCAGUACGACCUAUCCAAAAAUAUAAGUCGCGGUCCCAAACUCUCUCCGGUUAAAAAUAUGACUAAAAUACCCUUAAAUAAUUAAAUAAUUAAAUGAGGGUAAAAUUUGGGGAAAUUUGGGGUCGGGGUGUUACAUUACACAAACCAGUAUACUUGUUCUACUGAUAAUGUUUGUGAUACAAACCUGUUGUAUAGGUAUAGUUGGAUAUUCUACCUGUCCUACAGACUUAGGUUGGUUCAUAAUCUUUUUCACUACAACAGCAAGUAAUCUUGAAAAAUAAACCUUAUAAGCCUAAGGUUCAGGUACAUCAACCAAUACUAAUAAACGGGAAGAAAAAACGCAAUCAAAUUUUACCUACAAACGACAAAUAUGAAAAAUAAACCUUUCCUUACAUACCUUCACUGUAGUUAUGUGCCAAGUCAACUAUUUUCCACCCCAUAUUCAACACUCAAACUACCUCCAUGACACAUGAACCUAACGAAAAAAAAAAUAGAUAAGUUGAAUACUUCAUAGCAAACCUAACGGAAAAAAAAAAAAAAAAAAAUCUGACUGUAACACAAGUAAUUCAAUCCUAAUUUGGAAUUUGUGAAAAUCUUCAUUAAGGAAGUCAAAAAUCAGCAGAGACUGGGAUAGAACGACCAUGAUUGUAGGAGACAAGCAGAUUGUUGGGAGGGGUCGGUUUUAUUUGCCUUUUCUAUUUAAUGGCACUAGAAGUAAAUAUCUUAAAAAGGAUGGACAAAGGCAUUGCUUACGUGUCCAUUGGAUUGUUUGGUGGACUGCUAUUGAGGAGCCAAAAUUGACGUACUUCAUCCAUUGUAUCUUAAUGAAAAUGGAUACCCCUAAAGAUUAUUAAUAAAAGUACACUUAUUAAAAAAAAAUGAAAGAAAGAGAGGAGCUCGAUGAGGAGGAAGACGAGAGAGGCUCUAAAUUCUUCAACAAGAAGAGAAGUUUCUUUUAUGAAGUUGAAAGCAUUGCUCAAAAUGUAAUUGAGAGCUUGUGAAUAUGGUAUUUUGUAUAGGAUGUUGAAGGAUUAAGUGUGUAAUUGGUGGAUUUUGGGCUCUAGAUGGCUAUUGUUAAACUCCAUGGAUAUGUUAGUGUACUGCUUUUAAAUUUUUCAUGAAUAAUUUCCAGCAAUUUAUAGAUUUGUUGUAUUGUAGCUAUUAAGUAAUUCGUUUCUUUGGUAAAAUAUGUAGUUUCAUCUCUAAGUUCUUUUGAUUCCUAUUCAAUUAGGUAUAAUUGUAUCUUUGUGGAAUUUGACAACUUUUUUGUGUGUGUCCGAAAUCAAGUUUCAUUGUGAAUAUCCAAUUAAUGAUGAGUGAACAGCGUGCAUAUGUUAGCUGUUAAUUUGUUUUUUCUUUUGUGGCAUUACCUGUUCAACCAAUAUUAUAUGUGGAGUAAUCGAUUCGGGUAACUUAUUAUGUGUUAGAAAGUGGACUUACCCAUCACAGCACAUGGAGUACACAUCCUCACAGCAAUUGUUUAAUCAACGAUUGUCCCAACCAUGGUCAUGCGUAGCAUAGAUUUCUAAUUAUUAAUUGAUAAUGUCUCCCUCUCUCUAGGGCCGAGAACUCGGGGAUUUUUGCCAUCCCUAGGUAAUUCCUUUUAGAACUUUUUUUUUUUUUUUGAUGAUGUAAUUCCUUUGAGAACUUGUGAUCGACAAAAUGAUGAAAAGAGAUGGAAUCUACUUUUUCAGAGCAAUAAUAGAACCAUAGCAAGAUUUCUAAGCAAUAAUUGAUCAUCUCUCUCUUCUAGUACAUCUGAGCUGAGCUCCAACCACCACCACCACAAUCGAAUCUUAUCUUCUCACAUGUAUUUUUGAUUUUUUAAUUUUGUGUUUCAUCUGGUUGAUUGCUCCCCAGAAUUAAUUCUAGAUGUGUUGUUUUGAUUAAGCUAGCAUAUACCAAAAUAAGGCCAUUAUGGCGUCAGUUUCAGCAGACCUCUUCAUUGGCAAAUUUGUAGCAAUUCUCGAGAGUGAAGCAGCCUCCAUAGCGUGUGUUCGUGAUCAAGUUGAUGAGAUUAAGCAGGAGCUGGUAUUCAUGAAAUCCUUCUUAGAGGAUGCUGACGGCGGAGAGCAGGCACAUACACAAGUAGAGAAAGCGUGGGUCGCAAGCGUUCGAGACUUGGCCAAUGAUGUUGAAAACACCAUUGAUGAGUUCAUGUAUCACGUGUACGAGCAGCGAAAUGGCGGUCGAUUUGCCAGGUGGAUCCACAAAACCAUUCACUUUCCAAAGCACCUUUGGUAUAAGCGUCAAAUAGCCAACAAGUUACAGAAAUUCUUGGUGGCGAUUAGAGCUAUUCCAGAGAGAAAUCAGAGAUAUCGUGGUGCUGCAGCUGUAGAAGGAAAAAGCACUUCUGAGGAUAUUCGGAGAUGGGUGCAGAACCAAGCGGAGUCUUCUCUUUAUCAGAAGGAGGAUGAACUUGUCGGGAUUGAAGGCGAUAAGAACACGUUACUGGGAUGGCUGAUGGAUGAAGCGAAGCAGCAAACUGUUGUGUCCGUGGUCGGGAUGGGAGGAUCAGGGAAGACAACUCUAGUUGCAAGGACCUUCAAAGAUGACAUUGUAAAGAGACAUUUCGAAUGCUAUGCGUGGAUUACUGUUUCCCAGUCUUAUGUGAUUGAAGACUUACUUAGAAGAUUGAUCAAAGAAUUCCACAAAGCAAAGAAGGAAGAGGUCCCUGCAGACAUGAAUGCCAUGAGUUAUAACGAAUUGUUGGAGAUUUUGGUGAACUACUUGGAGACUAAAAGGUACCUAAUUGUAUUGGAUGACGUGUGGGAUGUCCACCUUUGGGACAAAAUAAGGUUUUCAUUUCCAGAUAAACAACUUGGAAGUCGAGUCAUGCUUACAACUCGAAGAGAAGACAUAGGAUCCUCUUCUUUUGGAGUUGAAAGCCAUGUUCACAAGAUUCGACCGCUGGAAAUGGGUGAUGCGUGGGAGCUCUUCAGCAUGAAAGCAUUCUCAAGUUAUCAGAACAAAUCUUGUUCACCUGAACUUCUGCCAUUAGCUCGGGAACUUGUGGAAAAGUGUGAAGGCCUACCACUCGCGAUCGUAGCCUUAAGUGGUCUCAUGUCUUCGAAGAAGUCACUUAAUGAUUGGAGCAAAGUCUACAAUAGCUUAAAUUGGCAUCUAACAAACAAUUCUUUGUUAGAACCUAUGAAGAGCAUCUUGUUGCUUAGUUUCAAUGAUUUGCCAUACAGAUUGAAGCAGUGCUUUCUAUAUUGUUCCCUUUUCCCAGAAGAUCAUGUGAUCAGGAAUAAUAGGCUCAUUAGAUUGUGGAUCGCUGAAGGAUUUGUUGAACAUGUCAAAGGGGUCACACCAGAAGAAGUUGCAAAGGGCUAUCUUAUGGAACUCAUUUUUCGUAACAUGCUACAGGAAAGGUUUGUAAUAGCCCACCCAGCAUGUAAGAUGCAUGAUCUUUUGCGAGAUAUUGCUCUGGCUAUAGCAAACAAAGAUAAGUUUUGCGCUGUACAUGAUGGAAGUGAAACAGUAGAAGAAACUGGGGCACUCCGUUUGUCAAUUCAAACAACUAAUGGAGAAAUUGGAUCAUGCACAGGUAUAUCACGGCUCCGUUCAUUUCUCGUCUUUACCACUGGCGUAUCCUCAUUCUCUUUCUCAAAUAAAUUACCUUUUGACCUUAAAUUGUUGAAGGUUCUAGAUUUGGAGGAUAUCCCAAUAGAUAAUCUGCCAGACGGAGUAACGAGCUUAUUCAAUUUAAAAUAUUUAAAUUUGAAUGGAACUCUAAUUAAGGAGCUUCCAGAAUCCAUUGGACAGCUCCGCAACCUUCAGACCUUGAACAUCACGGGGUCAAAAAUAGAGGCACUUCCAAGAGGGAUUUCCAAGUUGCUAAACUUACGCCAUUUACUUGUGGGUGGGUUCAUUUCCAGAAAGGUAAUUGGGGUAAGAAUACCAUCAAGUAUUAGUAAGAUGAAGAAAUUGCAAUCUUUGUUCUAUAUUGAAUCAGAAGGAAACAUUAUUAGACUUAUUGGAAGUAUGACCCAGCUUACUUUCCUUGGCAUUACAAAUGUGAAAGAAAGAGACGAGGAGGACCUAUGUGCCUCAAUUCAAGAGAUGGAGGUCCUUUCCUGCUUGUAUUUAUAUGUAGCUGAUGGAGAGGAAUUUCUUCGAGUUGACGCAUUGUCUUCACCGCCUCCCUACCUUGAUAGACUUAGAUUGGUCGGCAAACUGGAAAAGGUUCCACAUUGGUUUUGUUCGCUCCACUCUCUCACAUACAUGCAUCUGCAAGGGUCCAGACUUGAAGAAGAUAUACUACCUCAUAUUGAAGCAUUGCCCUCUCUACUUUAUCUUUCCCUUAUUAAUGCCUCUGUUAGGGAAGAGUUAUGUUUCAACAGAGGCUUUGCGAAGCUUCGGCAUUUGUGGUUUUAUGAUCUCGCAUUAUUAACUAAGAUAACUAUAGAAAAAGGGGCGAUGCCAAAUCUCGAGUUCUUAAAGAUUCAUAGUUGCUUGACAUUAGAAACAUUGCCACAGGGUAUUGAGCACCUUACUAAACUGCAACGAUACAGAUUUGAUAAUGUUUCAGAGAAGUUUAGAGAGUCCAUAAAAGAAGGAGGUGUGGAUCAUCCAAGGAUGCUACUCGUCGAUGAGAGAUGUAAGAAAUGUACGUAAGUAUCUUUUAUCCUUUCAUUGACUUUCCUAAACUUAAUGAUUUGGAAUAUUGCACUUGUGUUCAAGAAAUUGUUCUCGUUCACAUCUCUGUUAAUGGAUGUAAAGCCAUAUAAAUUGUUUGUUAAUUACAAUAUUGUUUUUGUCUUUUUAUAUAUUUUGCAGAAACAAGUCCUGGGAUUGAAGAUUUUACUCAUGAGUUUGGGGGUGGGAACUUGUUCGUCUUGUUUUGACCCCAAGAGUGAUCUAGAUUGGCUUCUUAUUUGCUCUUUUGAAAAUCAAACAAUACCCAAGUUGAUGUUCAUAAAAUUGCAGUUGAUGUUUUUGUGUGUGUUUUAAUUUGCAUGUAAUUAGCCCGUAUGUGGCGACUACAAUGUUGAUAUGAUUCAUUUUCUCUUUUUGCUUGAGAUUGUAAUACGUUGAUAGGCUGUCAUGUUAAUUGGUUUUUCCGUAAAUAAUGUGAUCUAGCUAGGUUCAGUCACUCAUGGGUUAGCAAAGUUAUAAAUAAAUAAAAAUUAAAAAAAACAAAAACAAAGCUCUAGGAAACCAUAUUUGGAGUAACAUACAAAAGCUCGUGUAAAAUAAACCAUUAAUAUUAUAUAGAUAUAAUUUAAAAAAUUCAAAAAUAAAUAUAACAUACAAAAUCCAAAAAAAUAAAAAUAAAAAGUAAAGGGAACACAUGCACUAGCACUACAAUUCAAACAUGCAUGAAUAUUGUCUGGCUUUCUUGUUUUACUUUCUUUCUUUUUUCCUUCUACAUAUUUCAGCCCCAAUGAGUUUUACUCCUUUUGUGUGUGGUUGAGGCAAUUAUAGACAAUAUGCUUUCUGUCUUUGGCUACCUAAAAAGUCAAGAAUGAGCCAUGCCUUUUGGUAUUACUUAAACUGAUACUGUGUCCAGGAUUUCAGAUUCUCCAUUCGAUUGGCUAUUCCUUACACAUGUAUGUUGUUAUUUAGAGAGAGAGGGAGGGAGAGAAAGGCAAAGUGUACAAACUAGAAUAAUUGAUAUCUCUCUAGCAAUCCAAGCAUUGAGUGUUGGUCAUUUGAGCUGGUUAUAUCUUGCUCUCUGGCUCUGGCCUUUUACUAAAUCAGGCUCUUUUCUUUUUGCGUAACUUCAGAAACAAUUCGUCGCGCAUUUUCCGUCGCGCGAAGAUCGUGAAGAAAGCCUUUGCGCGACGAGGUAUAACAAUUCGUCGCGCAAAACUGUGCGACGGGUAAACCAUCGUUGCACCAACGGUAUGGAGACGAAACAACUGUUCGUCGCAUAAAAUUUGCGCGACGAUCAAUUAUUCGUCGCACAUAUCUUUGCGCGACGACUGGAAUUGCGCGACGAAAACUAAUUCGUCGCGCAAAACGUGUUCAGGAGACGUAGAUGUUCGCCGCAGAACCAUUCGCGCGAUGAGAAAGCUUUCGUCGCUCAUAUAUUUGCGCAACGAAAAUCUCUGUUGUCGCGCCAGAUAAGAUGCGCGACGAAACAAUUCGUCGCGCAAAACGUGUUUGCGAGACGUAUGCAUUCGUCGCGCAAGAAUUAAAAGUAAUAAAAAAGUUGAUUUUUUUAAUUUUUUUUGUUACAUGCGGGUUUGCGCGACGAAAUAUUUGCCGUCGCGCAAACAUAAUAGUACAAUUUUUUUUAUUUUUUUAUAUUUUUUAUUUUUUAUUUUAAAUAAAAUUGGUUUUUUUAUUGAUUAAACAAUGAAAUUGCAAUAAAAAUAAAUUAGAAUAAAAUUUUGUUAUAAAAUAAAAUAAAUGUAUUACAAAUAAAAUAAAUACACUAAUCAAAUAAUGAAUCAAAAUCAACCGAGUCGUCGCCAGUAUGCGGCUCGGAGGUCGGGGCGUUCACCAGGGCAGUGGUCUGGUGGGGAUGCCCGGGAUGGACGGGCUCGGAGGUCGGCGCAUCAAAAUGCAGGACUGGAAUGCCGGACUGUGCGAGGGACUGCAGAAUGACCGACAUCUGGCUCUGAAGAGUUGCCACCUGUGCUGUCAAAGCAGUGACCUGACUGUUUGAUUGCGCCGAUGAACGAGGUCGAGGUUCCCUCCGCCGGGCAUUCCCCAUCCCUCGACAAUAUGUCCCCGGCCUCCUCCCGAGAGUCUGAUCCAACGUCUCUGUCAAGAUCUGAAAUCCAGCAUCCUGUGGAGGAGCCACAGACUCGAUCGGAGUCUCGGGAGGAAGCUGGGAGGCGGACUCCUGAAGAACCAACUGGCUCCUCUCCACCAUUAUCGUCUGUUGAACAUAACAUAAAAUAUAAAUUAAAACAUGCAUAUAAAUUGAAUGCGUAACAUAAGAAUUAAAAUUAAAUAAUACUUACAUGAAGGGACUCGGCCAACUCAUUCCCGGGUCGAACAUAAACGUCACCAAAGACGUCGAUCUCUGGGAACUUGGACCCCUCCUAAAUUGAACAAGAGAAGAAAAAUAUUAGUAUGAAAAAAAUAAAUUAAUAAAAAUGACAUUAAAAAUGAAAUAAAAAUUUUGUGAUUAUUACCCGACGCCGUGCAUCCAUCCUAUACGAAAAGGGUCUGGAGCCGGAAUGGUGGAGAAGGGUCUUCUUCUUCCUAUUACCCUUAUUCACAUGGGCUUUAUUCUGUUAUACAAAAAAUGAAACGUAUUAGUUCAAAUAUAAAAAAUUAAAUAAUAAUGAAAUAAAAAAAUAAAAUAAACAUUAAUAAGUAAUAAGUAAUAAUUAAAAAAAUACCGCAAAUUCGGGCACUUGAAAAUGAGCGCAGAGCCACUCCCAACUAUCCUCCCGCCCCUCAAGCUCCUUCGGGCAACCCUCCUGAAGAGCGACUUGCGGAUCAUCAUAGGCCUGAAAAUGGUGGUGCAAGUCGCUCUUCCACUGCUUGUACCUCUCAGUGAAGAGUCUGUUGACGUACGUCAACGACUCUUCGUCGAGAUCCUCCAAGUUAUAGUUCGUCUGCAAUCAAUUAAUUAGAUACGUUAAGUAAUAGAAAUAUACACAAUUUUAAAGAAAAAUAAUGAAAAUGUAAGGUACAUACCGACAACUGGCCGCGAACCUCCGCCUUGAUCUCGUCAGGCAUGACCCUCCAAGACUUCCAUUGCAUCGGGCAAUGGGUCCGCACGACGUGGCCAAUGUCGUGGGCCAAGGAGCUAUGCAACUCUGCCGUCGGUGUAGCCCGAUGGCGCUCGUCGUAUCCGAUGCUGAUACGACUGUUGGUCACCCGGGUGACCUUCGCCGUCUUCAGCUGACGACACGGUCCUCGGGUGUUCUUCUUCGCUGCAAAGAAAUAAGGUAUUAAUGUUAAAUAAAAAAACAUUGUCAAAUUUCAAUAUAAAAUUAACAAUACAAAAGUGUAGUUAUACCUGGCUGUGAUCCCGAGGCACCAGUACCGUCGGUCGAUGUCGUGUCGAUGGUGUCGGUGGGCCGGUGCCGCCGCCUAGCACUAGCUGGCUGCGCCACGGAUGACGCAGAUGACACAGGCGCCUGGGACGCCCCGGGACCAACCACCACGUGGUCCAGCAAAGCAGGAGCAGUGGCAGCAGAUGCCGACUGAGCCGGGGGAUCUGAACUCGAUGCAGUCGUCAUCGACCUACCACGUCUAAUCAAGUCUGACAUCUGCACAUAUAAUUUCAUUCAGAAUUUAAACUAAUUAAUUAAAAGCAUAGCCUGACCUAGGGUUUGGAAUUUCGGAGUAUCCGGGACUCCGAUCAACGAUCGGUCGAAUCCUAAACGAUCCUAGAAACACAAAGGUACAACUACGUGAGUUUCAGUUCGAUCCAACGGUCCGAACAUAUCAAACUUGGAAAUCGCACAAUAGGCGAAAUCCGAUCAAGACUCAAACGGCAACAAAAUUCAAAUCUGGGCAAACCUACGCGCUCGUGACAAACAGGGGAUUGCUCUGGGACCCAAUGCCCCACUGCCACAGUAUCCCACCCGCCACCACAUGCGCCGGCAGUGCGUGGGUGUCCAAAGCGAUAAAAUUUGCCGGAAAAUUCUAAAAACUAAGGGCCAAGGUUCCUACCCUAGGUUGAAAACAUUAAUUGGAGCCACUUUUGUUCUGGGACCGACCCCGAAAAAUGGCCGAAAGUGGCCGGAUUUGAUAGAGGCUUACAGUNNNNNNNNNNNNNNNNNNNNNNNNNNNNNNNNNNNNNNNNNNNNNNNNNNNNNNNNNNNNNNNNNNNNNNNNNNNNNNNNNNNNNNNNNNNNNNNNNNNNNNNNNNNNNNNNNNNNNNNNNNNNNNNNNNNNNNNNNNNNNNNNNNNNNNNNNNNNNNNNNNNNNNNNNNNNNNNNNNNNNNNNNNNNNNNNNNNNNNNNNNNNNNNNNNNNNNNNNNNNNNNNNNNNNNNNNNNNNNNNNNNNNNNNNNNNNNNNNNNNNNNNNNNNNNNNNNNNNNNNNNNNNNNNNNNNNNNNNNNNNNNNNNNNNNNNNNNNNNNNNNNNNNNNNNNNNNNNNNNNNNNNNNNNNNNNNNNNNNNNNNNNUGAAUGGCAUUAAUGAACCUGCGCGACGGAAACACUGAGUCGUCGCUCAAAACACUUCUGGCCGCCAAAAUUUGGGGUUAGGGUUUGGCUGAAACUGAAGGGUCUUUGCCUUUGCGCGACGAAGUAAGUACGCGUCGCGCAUAUCUGUCGCGCAAAAUGGCAUUAAUGAACCUUGCGCGAUGGAAACACCUGAGUUCGUCGCGCAAAACACUUCUGGCCGCCAAAAUUUUGGGGUUUAGGGUUUGGCUGAAACUGAAGGGUCUUUGCCUUUUGCGCGACGAAGUCAUGUAAUUCGUCGCGCGAGUUCGAGAUUGUGAUUCGGUUGAAGUUUUCGCUAAGUGUUCAGAGGGUCGAGGGAUUGCGAGACGAAUAGACUUGUAUUGCGCGACGUUUUUAUUCUGUUCGUCGCGCUAGUUCAGAAUUUCAUUCGGUUGAAAUUUUCACUAAGUGUUAAAAGGGGAUGGAGGGGUGAACUGUGUGUCCCAGAUUGCGCGACGAAUGAAAACAUAUCCGUCGCGCAAUCUUUAUGACUUUCACUUUGCGCGACGAAAGGAAUGUUAUUCGUCGCGCAAAACCUAAACCCUAAAAUGUAAACCCUAAGCCGUAAGCCCUAAGCCCUAAACCCUAAACCCUAAAAUAGUUUCAAUGAUCCAACCGGCAAACUUAUUUUUUUUAUACUUGGAGAUCAUAUACGCCAAAAAUCAAAACGACCAAACAUUCAGAUAUCAGAAAACGGGACAAAAUAUUUUGACGGUUAUAAAUGAAAAGUCAUGAUUUAACGGUUAUUUUAAUUCCGAUUUUGAUCAUUUUUUGCAGCAACAUUUGUUGACCCUAUAUGAAUACAAUGACUGAAUUUGAUCUUCAAUUUCAGAUUUUUACACUAGGGGAUACCACAUAAACGUUAAGUUACAUUUUGACAAAUGUAUGAACAAAUUUUUGAGUUUUUGGUGAAUAUACGAUUUUGAUAGCACAUGCAGUCUACGAAACUAGUUUCAGCCAUCCAGCCGUCAAACUUGUUUUUUUAUAAUUCGAGAUCAUAGACAGCAAAAUUCGGCCCAAAAAAACAUUCAGAGAUUAAGUAACGGGGUAAAACUUUUCGACGGUUCUAAAUAAAAAGUGAUGAUUGAACGGUUAUUUGAACUCCGAUGUUGAUGAUUUUUUGCACCAAUAGUCCUACACUCCAUAUGAAUACAAUGAACUACUUCGAUCGCCAAUUUGAAAUAUAUAUGUGUGUAUAUAUUAUACUAUAACGUAACCUAAUAUAUAUUUGCGCGACGAAGUUCUUCUUAUCGUCGCGCAAAAAACCCCAUACGCGACGCAUUCAUGUUCGUCGCGAAAACUAUUGCGACGAGGUUUGUUCGUCUCGCAAAAUUUACGCGACGCAUUUUUUUGCGUCGCGUAUGGUAUUUUUGCGCGACGAUAAUGUGUCUUCGUCGCGCAAGGAUUUGGCGCCAUAACUCCUCCUUUAAUUCAAAUUGUGUAUGCUUUGUAUUUUUGGGAAAGGUUUUGUAUUCAUCAUUUUUUAUGCUUUGUAUUUUUUGGAAAGGCUUUGUAUUUCUUCAUCAAAACCAAACUAAAUUGAUAAUUAAGAUUUGAAUCGACCGAAUUUAUCGGUUUGACUAGAUUGAUGCCACUAAUCAUGAACCAAAGUGAAGAAAAAUAAGUGGCACACAGCUAAUAUUGGAGAAAUAACUUAAAUUUUCUGUUUAAACAUGAAGAAAUAACUAUAUCUCAAAAGAAAAAAAUAAUAAUUGAAGAGGCCUUAAGGCAUGAAUAAAUAAAUAAAUAAAUAAAAACCAAUCAACAAGCAUGGGGUCGUAAUAAGUACUGACUAAAGUAUUGACAUUCCAAUGAAGUUUGUGAUGAAAUAUGGAGAAUGAAUACACAACUACAUAUGGACAACUACAUAUAUUCAAAGAUUUGUAUUACAAAAAAUGAAUACACUAACAUAAUAAAUUUACAAAUAAAUUCAUUAUUCAUCAUCUGAACUAUAAUAACUUUCGUUAUCGUCGCUAUCAUCACUCUCGGUCUCCCAAUCUUCUUCCUCCUCCUCCUCUAUAACCGCAUCAUCGGCGUUGCUAGGGCCCACUGCAACAUCGUAUCGAGGAAGAUCACCGAGGUCAAUUGUAAUUGACUGAAUCGGUAUUUCGACUGAAGACACUCCUUCUAUUUGAAACGGUUCUUGUAUAACAUUUGUAUCUCGAAGUGUUUCCGCAUCAUUUUCCAUUGAAGAUUCUAAACGUUGGUCAGCCACAUUGUCGACGUCGUUGUCACUUGGGUCUAGUUCUGGUAUAUCAUACACGUUCCUAUGAUCCAUCUUCUGCACAACUUUCCACCCGUUCCCGGCUUUAGGGUCAUCUAGAUAUACAAUUUGGGACGCCAUGUUUGCCAAAAUGUACGGGUCGUCAUCAUACCAAGUUCUGUUAAUGUUCACAGACAGUACUCCAUGGUCGAUUUUAACACUUGCCGCCCUAUUUGGGUUGGUAUCGAACCAUCGACACUUAAACAUGAUGACUUGGUAUCGAUCUUUGUAAAGCAAUUGCACGACAGUUGUCAGUUUGCCAUAGAAAUCAAUGUCCGUACUUUCGCCUCCACCUGGGACAUGGACACCGCUGUUUUGCGUACACAACUUGUCAUCUCGUGCGGCCCCCAAAAAUUUGACGCCGUUAACAUUACAACCCGAGAACAAUUCAGCGCGAAUUGGGCCGAACGCCAAGUUAUAUAACUCAUCACUGUAAGUGGGGGAAUUCGAUGAUUUCAAUUUAUUCACCUAAUAGUAUACAAAACCAUUUACAUGUUAGUCUGACAAAAUUAAAUACUACAAUUUAUAUUUGUCAAUUACAAAACACUUAUAACUUACAGAAUCCAAAAACCAUUGUGGAAAUAAUUCACGGUGUUUCCGGGCAGCCAAAUGUGAUGGAUGUUCUCGCUUCAUCAUCUGUUCAUGCUCAUCUAAGUAGGCCAUUAUCUCAUCACAAUUGUUCAGUACGAACCAAUGCGCUACCUCCAUGUCAUUUCUAGAAAACGACUCUCCUCGUCCAGGAUCUCCAAAUGGUCGUGCGCUUUGGGAAAAAACAGAAAGUUUUUCAUCUCUCAUACCUCCGUCAUUAUUGCGUUGAGGACGAUUGAAAACCGUCUCCACAUCUUUUAAAUACAUUCCACAGAAAGUAAGCGACUCAUAUUGAACCCAAGCCUCUAUAAUUGAUCCUUCGGGCUUUGCCCUGUUGCGUACACUUUUUUUCAGCUCUCCGAGAAGCCUGCCAAAAUAAAACGAUAUGAUACAAAUUAGCAAACUGUCGAUAAUGAUGCAUACACAAAUGAUAAAGAUUAUAUACCUUUCUAUUGGAUACAUCCAGCGAUAGUUGACAGGAUCAGCAAGCAAUGCCUCUUCUGGCAAGUGAACCAUCACGUGCUUCAUACUUGUAAAGAAAGCGGGCGGAAAUAUCAUCUCAAACUUGCAUAGGACUUGGACAAUGUCAUGGCGCAACUGAAACAUGUCUGUCCUUCGCAAUGUUUUUGCCGUCAGUUGGGAAAAAAAUCUGGAUAACAACAUGAUUGGCUUCACCACAUCUUCCGGCAGUAGGUGUCGAAUACCCACAGGAAGUAGACGUUGCAUAAACACAUGGCAGUCAUGGCUCUUAAGUCCAGUAAAUUUACCCCCAUCGACAUUCACGCAACGUGCGAUAUUAGAAGCAUACCCAUCGGGAAAUUUGACAGACGAUACAAACUUUAGAAACUCUUUUUUGUCAUUCGGUUUCAUAGAAAAGAAUGCAAGAUCCCUUCUAGCUUUAUCACUGUCCCUAUUCAUCCAUAAACCCCUUCGUAUGCCCAUUCUUUCCAAAUCAAGACGAGCUUUGAUCGUGUCCUUCGUCUUCCCCUCGUUAUCUAGAAUCGUGCCCACCAAUGUGUCGAAUACAUUUUUCUCAACACGCAUCACAUCUAGAUUGUGUCUCAAUUUCAGUUUCGACCAAUAUGGGAGCUCAAAAAACAUAGGCUUGUGCGUCCAGUUCAAAUGUGUAGAAGGUCUGGUCCGACUAACUGUUUUCCCGAACGGAGCAAAAUCCAAACGGUUCAGCUGUUCCAAGAUCUCAUCACCGGACCAUUCUCUAGGUCUGAGGCGACGCUCUGUGUUCCCGUCGAACUCUUUAUCUUUUUCCCGCCAUUCGUGGUCCCAUGGCAACCAUCUCCGAUGACCAAGGUAACAAACUUUUCCUGCGUGCCAACCAGAAGUUACAUCUUCCUUGCAUACAGGACAUGCCAUAUAACCCUUUGUGCUCCACCCAGAAAUCAUUGCAUAUGCUGGGAAAUCAUUCACAGUCCACAUAACUGCUGCCCGCAAAGUGAACAUCCUCCCAGUUGAUUUAUCGUACGUGCGAACACCGUUUGUCCAUAAAUCCUUCAGCUCAUCAACCAGAGGCCUUAAGUACACAUCAAUUGACCUGCCAGGAUCCUCAGUUAUCAAAACAGUCAUCAUCAUGUAUUCUUUUUUCAUGCAUUUCCAAGGCGGCAAAUUAUAUGGGAAUGCGAAAAUCGGCCAAGUGCUGUGGUGUUGGUUUAGAACCCCAUACGGAUUGAAUCCGUCAGUGGCAAGUCCCAAUCUAACAUUUCGGGGAUCAGCAGCAAACUCGGGGAACGUUCGAUCGAACUCUUUCCAUGCCUCCCCAUCUGCAGGAUGCCGCAUCACAUCAUCGUCUACCCGUUUUUCCUUAUGUCAUCUCAUGUCUGUGGCAGUAUGCGUCGACAUAUACAAUCUCUGCAACCUAGGUUUAAGGGGCAGAUAACGCAUCCUUUUUUGUGGUAUCUUAGUCGUUCUAUUCUGGGAUGUCAUUUUGAACCUCGACUCAUUGCAUAUAGGGCAUGUAUCCAACGUUUCAUGCUCUUUGUAGAAUAACAUGCAAUUGUUUUUGCAAGCGUGGAUUUUUUCAUAACCCAAUCCAAGACCAUGCAACACCUUCUGUGCAUGUUUAUGGUCUUUCGGCAAACAAUUGCCCGUCGGAAGCAUUCUCUUGAAAACCCCCAAAAAGUAAUCGAAAUACAAGUUCGACAUACGAUACUUUAUUUUUCUGUGCAUUAGCUCCACAAUGGCAGUGAGAACGGAAAAGCUCUCGCACCCCGGGUAUAACUCUUGGUUGGCAUUUUUUAACAGUUUUUCAUACUGUUCAAACUCCGCACUGUCUAUUGGUGUAGGCACGUCAUAUUCCCCUUCCUGAUUGAUGCUGGUCGAUGCGAAUGGAAAAGCAUCCUGUAUAAUACCCAUGACUUGAUCAUUAGGAUCCACAAUAGGUUCAACAUUGUCCACUCUUGGGGCAUUUGAAGACGAAGCAUGGUCUACUUGUUCGCCGUGAAGGUUCCAAAUGCUAUGUGUUUCAAUCAUUCCAUUCCUUACUAAAUGAAAUCCAACAUUUUCAAUUGUCUCAAACAACGUGUUGUUACACCUCCUACAAGGACAACGGAUUCUAGUUGCACCCGGGUUCUGUCUACGUGCAAACUCAAUAAAAUCCUCGAUUCCAUCCAAGUAUUCGUCUGCGCAUCUAUUCGGGUUAUGUAUCCACCUUCUGCUCAUAAUUCCUGAAACCACAAUCACGACACAACAAUCACAACAACUUCAUACGAAGUUAUAAUGUCACCUUAUGCCUCCGGUAAGGGCCCUAUCCCAUUCGGGAAUGCAUAGUCCUGUCACGUAACCUACGGCUACAUGAGAUUAGAUUUCGACGUGGAUUAAUUUCGGCAGCAUCUCGACACAGUUCUUAAAGUGGGCAUAGGUAUAAAUACCUACGUACCACCCGAAGAACGUACCGAGAUGACACCGAAAUCUCCACAAUCGAAACCUAAUCCUGUAGCCGAAGAUUAUGUGACAACACUAUGCAUUACCAAACUGUCCAAGUAAUGGGACAAUUCAAGAAUUAAUUGGACCGCAGUCAUGCCUUACGCAUCCAUGCACGAAAUCCAACUAAUCUCGAACGGGAAACUACGUGUUACUAAACAUAAAAAUAAAAGUACGAAGUUAAUUUCAAUUAACUUCGUACAUCACAACACAUUGUGCUACGUCACGCACAAUUUCACAACAUUAUACACAUAAAACUUGACAAAAAAAUUACAAACUUAACAAACAAACUUUUACAAUGACAUACCUUCUCAAUCGUUCUCCACCAAUCACUAAUCACAAAUAUCCCUAACGAGAACAAAAUUAAUAGCAUUAGUACGAAUUUACAUUAAUACAUUUAAACUAACGACAAAAAAUACAUACCUAAUAAACGUACAUAAUUCACAGCAGAGCAGCAGCAGGGAGGGAGAGUGAGAGAGAGGCAGAAUGCAAUUUUUGCAUUCUGCCUCUGCAAUGGCAGAUACAAAUAUGAAGAAGAAGGACUUUGCGCGACGAACAAGGCAAAUUCGUCGCGCGAAACGCCGUCGCGAAAACCCACUUUUCCGUCGCCCAAAACAACAUUUCCGUCGCGCAAUCACGUGUCGACAACUGAUUUUUUGCGCGACGAACAAAAUUAUUCGUUGCGCAAAAUUCCGUCGCGCGUUUACAAUCCGGCGUCGCGCAAAGUGCAACUUUCGUCGCGCAAAUAAAACUUUUUCGUCGCGCAAGAACGCACCGCGAUUAAACUUUACGCGACGACGGCACUUCCGUCGCGCAAAAACCCACCUGCAUAUUGGCGCCAAAAAUAAGUUUCCCUCGUUUUCUUACGCGACGGUUGAUUUUUUUCGUCGCGCUAAGUUGUCUUCUGAGACGAAAACUCUCGUCGCGCAAAAUUUUUUUACCGCCAUAAUCGGAGCCAAUAUUCUGUCCAUCUUUGCGCGACGAAUACCUGGAAUUAUCGCGCAAUAUAGUCAUGCGCGACGAUCUCUGUCGUCGCGCAAGAGUUUGGCGCAAUAACAUAGACUUUACAACCUUUGCGCGACGACAUUUAUUUACGUCGCGCAUAGACUCUUUCCGCGACGAAAUUAUUUGUCGCGCUAGUUGUCUGUUGUAUGCGCGACGGAAUCUUUUUUUCGACGCAAAAGUGCUCCUUGCGCGACGAAAUUGUCUUCGUCGCGCAAACUUCCAUCGCGCAAAUAGUAAAUCGUAGUAGUGAACAGCUUAAAGUGGCAUCUAACAAACAAUUCUUUGUUAGAACCUAUGAAGAUGCGCAUCUUGUUGUUUAGUUUUAAUGAUUUGCCAUACCGAUUGAAGCAAUGCUUUCUAUAUUGUUCCCUUUUCCCUGAAGAUCAUGUGAUCAUAAAUAUAAGGCUCAUUAGAUUGUGGAUCGCUGAAGGAUUUGUUGAACAUGUCGAAGGGCUCACGCCAGAAGAAGUUGCAAAUAGCUAUCUUACGGAACUCAUUUUUCGUAACAUGCUACAGGAAAGGUUUCUAGGAUCCAUCCCAGCAUGUAAGAUGCAUGAUCUUUUGAGGGAGUUUGCUCUGUCUAUAGCAAAAAAAGAAAAGUUUUGUGCUAUACAUGAUGGGAGUGAAACUGGGGCACUCUGUUUGUCAAUUCAAACAACUAAGGGGGAAAUUGGAUCAUGCACAGGUAUAUCACGGCUCCGUUCGUUUCUUGUCUUUGCCACUGGAGUAUCCUCAUUCUCUUUCUCAAAUAAAUUACCUUUUGACCUUAAAUUGUUGAAGGUUCUAGAUUUGGAGUAUGUCCCCACAACUACAAAAAAGCAAAAAGACGACGGUAAAUCACCGUCGUGUAUUGGGUUUUUCAAUGGUCGUGGAAUCCACCGUCAUCUUUUCCCUCAUAAACCACGACGCUAAAUAACCGUCGUUGUUAAAAUAUACAACGUCAUCAACAAAUACAAAACGACGUCUUUGUACUGCAAAAAGAUCUAAAAAAAGCAAUCGAGGAUGAUAAUAGACGACCAACUCUCUAAAAAAACCGUCGUUAAAAAGGAAAAAUAUGACACAUAUUAACAGAACAAGGCCGCAAGAUAGACAUACAACGACGAAAAUACAAAUACGACGACGUUAAAUAUAAUUUUCACGACAAUAAAAAAUAUGACGUCUUUAAAUACAUUAGAAGACGACGUUAUUGAUACCUACUACGUCGCAUAUAUAAAAACAACCGUCGUAAAAUUAAUUUUCCACUUCGAUUUUUCGAUAAAAGAUGACGUGGAAAUAGUUGUCAGUGUCAUUAUUUACGACGUAUAUGUUAAUAGAGUAGACGUUGAAAAACUAAACAACGUCGGUUACAAAUAUAUGAGAGUCGUAUUACAAAAUUUAUACGUCCUAUUUUCAGAAACAAACAACGACGAUAAAUAUUAGACGUUGUUAAAUAAAACAACGUCGGAAAAAAAUAAAAACAGACGUGUUUAGUCUGCUAAAGUUCUAGAAAAUAGUCGAGGAUGAGAAUAGACGACCAACUCAAAAAAAUCACCGUCGUUAAAAAGGAAAAAUAUGACACAUAUUAAAAGAACAAGGCCGCAAGAUAUACAUACAACGACGACAACUAAAAUACUACGCCGUUAAAUAUAAUUUACCCGACAAGAAAAAAUAUGACGUCUUUAAAUACAUGAGAAGACGACGUUAUUGAAAUCUACUACGUCUCUUAUUUAUAAAAAACCGUCGUGAAAUAAAUUUUCCACUUCGAUUUUUCUAAAAAAGAUGACGUGGAAAUAGUUGUCAGUGUCAUUAUUUACGACGUAUACAUUUAUAUAGUCGACGUUGUAUUUAUAUGUAUUCAUUACUCACGACGCACUUAAUAAUAUAGACGACGUUGAACUUCUAAACAACGUCGGUUCCAAAUAAAUGAGAGCCGUAUUACAGAACAUAUAGACGGCGUAGAUUAUGAUGAGAGCCGUAUUACAAAUAACGUCGUUUAAUUAUUAUUAGACGGCGGUUAUAAUGAAUUUCCGUCGGAAUUCAUUUCGUUCCUCUUCGUUUAUAAAAGAACUUGCGACGUGGAAAAUGUAUGAUGACGUCGUAUUUUUUAACGUUCAGAUUAUAUAUCUCGUUUUUUAGACGUCGUUAUUAUGGGAUUGGAGUCAUGUUAUUUUGAAUUACAUGGCGGUUCUUAAUCCUUCCCCGACGUGAUAUCCUGGAUAAUUGCUUCACAAUAGCGUCGUGGUUCUUCAUUGUUACGUUGCUUUAAGACGUCGGUAAAUAUGUUGAAUAAAUGGUUCACCAUAACGUCGUGUUUUAUUUGAACAGACGUUGUUUUUUAUGCAGAAUAUAAUGAUGUAAUCUGGAUCCAGUAUUUUUUGCACUGAUUGUUUUGUGGCCAAAACCUGUAUAAUGAAAGUGAAGAAAUCACAUUACAAUAUAUUAUAAAAUGAAUGUCAUACACUGCCAAUUACAUAAGCAUCAUUCAAUCCAUAUAUCUUCACACCCACCUCGAAUAUUUUGAGCACCUAACUCACCCACCAGUUCAUCAAAUGUGUCAACAUUUGGCAUCCCUCUAGUAAAUGGCUCACACUCAAUUAUCACAUCACCUAAGACUUCAUCACCAAUAACAUCAUUAUAUUCUCUAUUAGGCAUUGAUAACACUACCGACCAACCACGAUGCAUCGGGUCGUCAACAAAAAAUAUUUGUUUGACUUGAGAAGCCAAAACAAAUUGGUCAUUCCUAUGUCCAAUUUUACUCAAAUCUACAAGGGUAAAUCCAAGUUCGUCGACUACAAGACCAGAACUAUCUAUCCAAUCACACCUAAAGACUGGGAUUGUAAACUUUUGGUAGUCAAGGUCCCAAAUUUCUUGAAUGACACCAUAGAAACCCAUAUUUGAGAGAAUUGGAUUUUUAUCCUUGGCACUAGCAACUUGCAUGGUAUGUGCAAGUAAAUAAACUCCACUAUUUUGAGUUGUCCGCACAUCAUCUUGUGCCUUGAUAUUGAAUUUAAUACCUUUAAUAAGAUAGCUCCUAUAUAAUGGCACUGCCAUGUUUGGACCAGCUGCUAGCCAUCUUAAAUUUUCUGAUACGCCAUUAUUGUCUUCCUCAAGUUCACUUUGAACCUGCAAAUUAAUCAAAUCUUAAUUCAAUCUAACAUAGAAAUAAGAAGAAAAUUAAAAGAGAAAUAUGUUAUUCAACAACAUAUACCUUGAAGCGUAGCCAUUGAAUGAAAGUGCUAUUGUGCUUAUCCUGCAGCCACUUUGUUCUCUUUCUAAAUUUUGGAUAAGCAGUCUUGAUGACUUAUCCAUUCAUAUGCCUUCGAUCUUCUAUCCGAGUGCAUCCAUGACUUAUCCAUCUCCGACACUAUAACCUAUUAUCUAUAAUAAAGUGAAAAUACAGGCAAUGACCAUCACUAUAGCAGAUUAUACAAUGAUCUAAUCGCAAGUAAUACACAACAGAGACGACGGGUUUUAAACAAAAACAGACGUAUUUGGCAUAUAUAGACGACGGAUUUUCAACAGACGUCGUCUAUUAUAAGUAAUACAAACGACGGUUUAUGAAAAAACCGUCGUGUACAAGUAAUACAACGACGGUAGUGUAAAAAAACCGUCGUGUAAUCGUCGUCGUAUGCCUUAAAAUUCGUCGUGUCUCAGUUUAUUUUCAAGAACACAAAACCCAUUAAGAACACAAUAUAUAUAUGAAACCAAGCAAGAAACCAACAUAUACAUGAAACCAAGCAUGAAAACAAUAAAUCCAUUCCCAAUUCAACAUAACAUAGGGUGAUUAAAAGAUACGACAAAAUUAAAUCCAUUCCCAAUUCAACAUAACAGAUAAUGUAAUCCAUGAACCCAUUAAACAGAAAAUCCAUGAACCCAUACCUAUAAGCACAUUAUUAACAGAUCGCAAAGCAUACACAUAAAACCCUUUAACAAAACAACCUAAUAUCAUUCAAUGAAUUUACAAGGGGAAGAUAGGGUUUGUACUUAUAGGUUGGACGAGCUCACAGAUUCGACGGAGCCUGGAGAGUGCAACUUUUAAUUAGAGCAGAAGUGAGAGCGAAAUGUUAUGUCGCGCGAAAUCUGAAAAUUUUAGGUUUCAGGGUUCGAAGUAUAAGAAUAAGAGCCAAAUCUAAAAAAAUUUAGGUCGCGCGAAAAUUUUUAGAGCUCGCGCGUUUUAAAACGUCGAAAGAAAAACCAAGGCGAAAGUUCUACAAGUACCGACGUAAAUUUAAUAUUCCACGACGGAAACUUCAUUUUUCGGAUUAAGAACGUAAGGCCGUUCAUUUUGAAGCUUCAUUUUUCGGAUUAAUUUUAAAUUUAUUUUGAAUUUUUUAUAUAACGACGACUGAAAAACCACGUCGGUGUUAAGAAAUUAAAGACGUUGUAAAUUAUAUAAACUGACUUACAUAUUAAAAUGACGUCGUUUAAAGCGUAAACCAUGUCGUAUGUUUUACUGUACGACGUAAAAUAUGUAUUCCACGACGCAACCACCGUCGUUAAAAAUUAAUACCCUAAACCCAUAAAACUAAAUUAUACAAUUUAAAAAAUUAAGUUUAUAAAAGGUUUAUGGUUUUAAAGCCUAACAUAUACCCUAGACUACCCAAAAAUUAUACUUUAAAAAUAAACCCCAAUAAAUAACAACCCUAAUCUCUAAACCCUAGACUCUAAACCCUAAACCAUAAAACUAGAAGUGAUUUUAUGACUCAUCAAAACAAUUUUGUUUUGGAUGGUCAUUUUAAAUUUUUGUUAUUCAAAAUGAAUUUUUUCAAGGUUUAUGUGGAAGAAAAUAUAUCAAUGACUUCAUAGGAGUUGACUUUUCAAUUUUCUGAUUUAUUUUAAAUUUAUUUUGAAUAUUUUGAUAUAAAAAUAAUAAAAUAUUCUUACCACAACAACAAACCACGUCGGUGUUAAUAAAUUGUAGACGUUGUAAAUUGUAAUAAACUACUAAGUCGUUAAAAUGACGUCGUUAAAAUGAGAAACCAUGGCGGCUAUUUAACUAUACGACGUAAAAUAUAUAUUCCACGACUUAACCGCUGUCGUUACAUAAACGUCGUCGAUGAUACCCUGAACCCUUAAGAAAUUGAAGAUGUUGUAAACCAUAAACGACUCAAUUGUUCAAAGAACGUCGUCUAACUAUAUUUUUACGUCGUAUUUGUUUAAAACACGAAACAACAAAAUACGACGGUUUUUGACUUUAUUAGGUCGUUGGAAAAGUAUUACACGUCGGUUAAGCAAUUUGUAUGUUUGUUUUUUUUUUAAUUUAAGAAAACCUCAACAAAUUUUUACAUUACAUAUUAUAGAGAAAAUUUGUACAUUAUACAUAAAUAUCAAGUGUUCAAUAAUUGCCCUGUUUAAUAAUUUGGAAAACAAACUCUGCCCAUUCAUUCCGGACUUCAUCAAUGGCUUCUUGGGGGUAUGAAGCUUCCUGGUUUCCCUUGGCAUACUGCAUAAACAAUGACUAUUAGGGUUUAUAAAUAAAAAGAAAUUCAAUCACAAACGACGAUAUUUUUCAUAACCGACGUAGUAUAUCCAUUCAACGACGUUAAUUUUACAUGACCGUCGUUGAUAAUACAAAAAACGACGUGAAAUGUAUGAAGGUAAUUUCUUCUUACCUUAUACUCAAACCCCAAGGAAGGAUCCAUGAUGAUGUCCCUCAUGAAGCGCAUCACAUAAUACCCGCAUUCGACAUUGCUGGGUUGCUUUGGUGUGCCUGAGAGAGUUUUCCAAAUUACAUUUUUACGUCCUGCUCGGGCUAUGUGGGUAUUAUAUAUUUUUAAAGCAUUGUUCACGAUGUUUUUCGCCUCUUCGUCGACCACACAAUGACCUGGCAGAGGAUCCAGAAAAUAGACGGUCUCCUUCUUUGCUCUUACAAUCAGCAAGAUCCAAUGACGGCUGCACAAAAUUAAUAUAAAAACGACGGUUAUUUACAAAAACGACGUAUUAUAGUAUUUCACACGACGAAAUAAAGUAGAUAACGACGACAUUAUAUAUUUAUCACGACGAUAAAUAAAUACCGACGUGGUUAGUAGUUUCAAACGACUAAAUAAAAUAAAACACCGACGUGGUUAGUUUAUAAGCUGUCAUUUAUUGAAAAUCAUAAAAACAAAAUCCUAAGGAGACUAACCCUGGAUUGUAAGGCAUCAUGAAAAUCUGUUCACCGUCUGUCUUCUGAAGUCGAGCUGCUACCAGUCGUGAUCUUUCAGUUAUUGUGCCAGAGUUGGCACUAACUGUAGCAGGGUCGAUAAAGCCAACCAUGCUGCACAUAUUGGCUUGUUUCAAAACAUCGUGUAAGUACCUAAAUACAUAAAAUAAUAUAAACAAGUCAGCACAAAAAAACACGACGGUUAUGUAUAAAAAAACGACGUAUUAUAAUAUUUCACACGACGUACUGAAAUAGAUGAGGACGUUAUAAUAUAUUUAUCACGACGGUAGUUAGUUAAGACGACGUGGUUAGUUAGUUAAGACGACUCAAUAUAUAAACCAACGAGGUAUUAUUUUAGAAGUACAAACCUCAUAUAUACAGCCAAUACAGUAGCUCCAAUUUCUUCCGUGCCUGCAAAUUGUGUAAUAUCUUCAGGCAGGAGGAAGGUAUCGCGCUCACCACCAAACACCUCCUUAUCAAUUGUAAAUUGGAGUGUCUUAUCCUCAGGAAGGAGUGUCGUUUCCAAAAAACGACAAAGGGUUUUUAAAGAAGAUGGCGCCUCCAUAGUUGAAUAAUCACCAACUUCAAUAACCUGUUUAAAGAAAUAAAAAAAAUGACGUGGUAAUUCAAUAAAGACGACGGUUUAAGGAAUAAAACGUCGUCUUAAAAGUAUUUAAACGACGGUGAAAAAACUGUCGUGGUAAUUCAAUAAAGACGACGGUUUUAUGAAUAAAGCGUCGUCUGAAACCAUUUAAACGACGGUGCAAAAACCGUCGUUUAAAUAUUUUAUUACGUCUUAAAAAAAUUCCGCCGUCUAAGUUGUAAACAAACGACGGAUUAAAUAAAAAUAUCGACGUCUGAAAUUUUGAAAAACAAAUAAAAAAGGCAAAGUUAUGUGAACAUACCUUGUCGUCAUGCUUUUCUUCAUCUUCUUUCUCCUUUUCUUCUUCCUUCUCUUCAUCUUUUUUUUCUUCUUCCUUCUCUUCAUCUGGCUGAUGUUUCCCCAUUUUGGCAGUAUCAUCCUCCAAAUGUAGGGAUCUCACAUCACCUCCAGAGCAGCUAGCUUUGUCAGACAUUGGAUUUUUGGGGCUUUGGCUAAUUCUUGGUUUAAGCAUGCUUGGAUCAAAAUUGGGAAUUAAUUGGGAAAGCUGACUCAGGAAAUGCUCCCUCUCAGCCUCUACCAAUUGUUUUGUCCUAGCCUCCAUCCUUAAGGCCUCUUCCCUUGCCUUAGCCUCCAUCUUUUUAGUCUCUUCUUGAAGGAGAACUCUUAAACUGUCCUUCAAACGGUCGUCAAAGCUCACCCUCUGUGGUUUGGGCAAAUUGAAAUAUUGCCUUGGGGAAACACCAGCACCAACUCCCCUCACUCUGCCUGGAUGCUCGGGGCCCAAAGCCAUGGUCAGCACAUCAUUGCUGCCAUCUACUCUGACUUUGCCUUCCGAGACUUGUUUCUGCAAUUCAUCCUAAAACAAAGAUAAACAAAAAAAUACACGACGGUUAUUUAUGUACAAACGACGUAUUAUAUAAUUUCACACGACGCAAUAACGUAUAAACCGACGUUAUUAUAACUUAUCACGACGGUAGUUAUACCGACGUGGUUAUUUAUUUAAAACGACGAAAUGAAUAAACAACCGACGUCUUAUGCUAUAAUUAAAGAAAACAGAGUAGUGAUUCCUAUUUAGACCGUUAACGACGUUUUUAAAAAAGUUUCGACGUGGUAAUAUCAUUCACACGACGCGAAAAUGAACCACCGACGUCUUAUGCUAUAAUUACAGAAAACAUAGUAGUGAUUCCUAUUUAGACCUUUAACGACGUUUUUAAAAACUUGUCGACGUGGUAAUAUCAUUCACACGACGAAAAAUAUAACAUACGACGUAAUAAGAAUAUUUCACAGUUUAAUAAAAAUUUAAAACAGAGUGAUAGUAGGCUUACAAUUAAUUUUGCUUUCUCUGCCACCUUUGGAUCAGGGAUGUUACCAUGUUUGUCCUGUCUAGCUCUCUUCCAUAAGGUAGAUCGAUCAAUUUCUACCCCAGGCAUGGUUUCCUCCAAUUGAUCCUCCAAUCCAGCAUAUCCUUUUCGAGACAAUCGAUGAUUGUACUCGAGUUUCUCCCUAAUCUGUGCAUGUUGAGAAUGCACAGACUCAAAAUCUUUGGAUAGCCUCGAAGCUACAAAGGCAUCCCAUUGUGCUUUCUCUAUGAAUUUAUAUGUUUCAGGGGGUUGGCUUAAUUUCUCCCUGUCAUUGGUGUAUGGAAGGAUAUAAUGCCUCGUUAGUGUAGACUUGAAAUCCUUCCCUUUCUUGGCAGCAGAAGCUAAAACAGAGGUCUUACCCCCUUGGCCUACGACAAAAGCCAUGUCAACUGCUUCCCAAAUCUGCUCCUUUAUAUCCUUGGGGAUUUGGGACCAUUUCUUGUCCACAAGUGGGAUCCUGGAGCGUGCCAACACACCAAUAUACGACUGCAUCUCAAUAUGUGCUUGGCCAACACCUUUCCCCCUUUUAUUGUACUCAACAAUUGGCCUCAGUUUCUGAAGCUUUCUCUUCACAACACGAGGCAUUGUGCUCAUACCUCGACCAGUCUUUGAAUCAUCAGAGAUUGUUGUCUGGCUGGUUGGUUCUGUCUCAGCAGAUGAUGAAGCAAACUUCAUCUUCUUCGAAGACUUCAUCUCCUUCGAAGACUUGUCUUGAGGAGCUACCAUUCCAAGCUUCUUGGAGCCAGAAUCCUUAGUUUGUUGUUGAGAAACCAUUUUAACAGACAAAACUGCAAGUGAAAAUAUUUCAGGAAAACAUUAAGAACACAAACGACGGUAUUAAAAAAAUACGACGUAUGAUAUGAUUUUAGACGACGCAAUGAAAUAAUCUCAGACGUAAUAAAUGUUUAAAACCAUUAUUUAUAUAACGUCGUGGUAUAUAUGUUCACACGACGUCAAUAGUAAUACACCGUCGUGGUAAAACUAUUAUUUAUAUAACGUCGUGGUAUUUAUGUUCAUACGACGUCAAUAGUAAUACACCGUCGUGGUAUUAACAUUCACACGACGUAAAACAAUAAGAUAUUUUGUCGUCUACAUUAGAUACCAACCCUAGUUUCUUUUUCUUUAUAUUUUAUCAAAUAAGGGAAAAACAAAAACCAUUGUUCAGAGAAAUCAAACCUGCAAUUAAACAAGCAUAUAAAAAAAGACUAUUAUUUUAAAAACAACUUUGUCAAUUUUCAGACGACGCUAGAACAACUGACGAACCGUCGUGGUCUACCGUCGUCUUAUUUAGUUGAGGUAGUUGUCUUCAAAGUUGGAAACUUUCCCUCUUUGUCUGUAUAUUUUAUCAAACUUGGAAAGAAGUAAAAUGAUUUUGGCCAGAAAAAAGGUAAAAAGAUUUUUCAAACAAAAAACGUAUGAGCAUGCAAAACAGUAACCAAAAUAGUGAAAAUGAAAGCUUACCUUUUGCGUGCAAUGAAAGCAAGAGGAAGAUGAUCGAUGUUUAAGUUCAGAGACGACGAAGAAGACGAGAGGAAGACGAUGAGAAACUCUGACAAUGCUCUGACAAGGAAAAAAGACGAAAAGGUUUCUCUGGGAGAUUGAAAUUUUUAAUCGGGUUUGGAAACAGUGCAUGUGUAAGUCGAAAAGUUGCUUACAUAUAAAACCAUUUCAAAAAAAUAAUACGGCGGUUACAUUUAACUACGUCGUUUUUAACUAACACGACGCAAUAUUUUUCGUUCGACGUGGAAUCAUUUCAUUUAACGUCGUUAGGUUUAAUAUAACCGACGUGGAUUUUAAUUUUUAAAUUAUGAAUAGAAUUUUUUUUCCCGUGACCUUUCAGUUUAUUUUUCAAUUACAGUGCGUUAUAAAUAGAGUUUUUUUUCCUGAGGAAAUUUAAAACGAAGGAAAUUAAUAUUCUGCAAUAUGUAAAGUUUCUUUUUUGGAUGACAGAUUUAAAUAAAAUAAGAAUAUAAAAACAACGAAUGUGUAAGUCAAGUAGACGAAAAGUUGCUUACAUAUAAAACCAUUUCAAAAAAAAUAAUACGGCGGUUACAUAUAACUACGACGUAUAAAGUACAAAAUACGACGGUAAAUUUAACUUCGGACGUGGUAAAUAAAUACGACAGUAGUGUUGUAGGUACCGUCGUAGUAAACUCAAAAAUUAAAGUACAUAAGUAAUAACUCGCGUCAUGGUAGAUUAUUUAAGACGUCGUGAUUAUUAAUGUACCGACGUGGAGUUCUGUAAUAUACGUCAGUAAUACCGAUGUUGAUUUUACAAUUUAAACGGCGGUUUUUUGGUAAGGACCGCCGUUGGUUUUAAAAAUUUAUUCUAUAAAUUUGUCGCUUUCAUUCAUUUUCGCGGUUUACAUUUAGGGUUCCAAGUUCUUCCUCUCUCAGAGACACUGUCUCUCACAUCUCAAAGACAAUAAUUUGGAUGUCUUUCUCAAGAAGAAGCUUGUCAACUAGCCUUCUCACUUCCUUGAUCAAGCCUGAUAGGACACUUAGUGCUUCUGAAUACUCCUUGCUUUCCAUCAAAAGAGAUGCAAGCCUGGCCUCCACUCGCUGUCGAAGGAAAGUUCGCUUCUCAGGGAAAUCUGAAGAUCAGAUGUGCCUGAUCCUCUGCUUGAUUUUCUUGCCUAAGAAGAUUCGUCGGAUUUGUGAUAGCCUCUUCCUUUAUCCGUAGAGCUUCAGAAGAAGAAGAUGGGUUUCAAGAAUGCGAUAAAGAAUAGAAAUGGCUUCAGAUGGCCUCUAAAGCAUGAGCAAUUGAAUCAGUAGUUUCUGGGAGAUAUGAUGAAGACAUUGUCAAUGCUUUGAACUAUACAAGUCCUGCAGAAAGAUAAAGGACCAAACUGUUAAAGAAACUGAAACAACGGCGGUUUUCUGUUCUACCGUCGUCUUUUCUCGUCGUCUAUAUUAAGGUAAGAUGGCGGUAGAUUUAUAAUUACCGACGUAGAUUAUUUUGUUAAACGUCGUUAAGUGUACUACAACCGACGUGGAUUUUAUUUUUAAAUUAUAAAUAGAGUUUUUUUUCCCGUAUUCUUUCAGUUUUAGUUUUCAAUUACAAAGCGUGAUAAAUAGAUUUUUCUUUCCCGAGGAAAUUUAAAAUGAGGGAAAUUAAUGUUCUAGAAUUUGUAAACUAACACGACGCAAUAUUUGCAAAUCUGUGUCAUCUGUUAAGAUUAUGAUGUGGAACAGAGUUCCAUCUGGUAAGAUUUCGUAACCCUUGGGAUCUCAGACAAAUCUGAUUAUGUCGGCGGUGUUCUAUAUAAACCGUCGUGGUUAUUUCAAUUCUUGUCAUUAAGUAGAUCUACCGACGUAGGAUAAGAAAAUCAAAGAAAAAAAUUGUUAACAAAAAUUCUUAUUAAGACGACCGUUAAAAUUAAAGGUACGACGUAUAAAAUGAAUAAAUACGACGUUAAAUUUUAUUGUACGAUUUAAAGAUAACGUCGUAGAACUAUACGAGAAUGACGUCGAUAUAUUUAUAUUUUCCGUCGUUGUAAAUUAAUUUAAUACGGCGAUAUUUUGUAUUUUAAAGCCGUGGAUUUGUUUGUAAUUAUACGGCGUCUUAUACGAAAACCUCGUCGUGUUAUUUUAUGAGGAAAAACGGCAGUUUUUAUUGAAAUCGUCGUCUUUACUUUCUACGUCGGUCGAUUCAUAACUUCUGCCGUUCUUUGUUGGCAUUGAUUUUACACUGCGGAAAUCUGUUUCAAAUAGACGUCGGUUGUUUAAUUAUGUACGUCGUUGUUUUUGAACAACCAUUUGAAUCUCCAUUUUUUAGUUGUCUAAGGUUGUAUUACACGACGGUGUUUUUAGAACCGUCGUCUUUUUAUAAACCACGACGGUUUUCACUUAGACCGUCGUUGUUUUCUGGUCGUCUUUUUCACUUUUUGUAGUUGUGCCCACUUGAUUAUCUGCCAGACAAUCUAACGUCCUUAUUUAAUUUAAAAUAUUUAAAUUUGUUUGGAACUCCAAUUACGGAGCUUCCAGAAUCCAUUGGACAGCUCGGCAACCUUCAGACCUUGAACAUCACGGAGACAAAAAUAGAGGCACUUCCAAGAGUUCCAAGUUGCUAAACUUGCGCCAUUUACUUGUGGGGAGGUUCCAAGAGGGAUUUCCAGGAUAGAUUUCCAGAAAGGUAAUUGGGGUAAGAAUACCAUCAAGUAUUAGGAAGAUGAAGAAAUUGCAAUCUUUGUUACGUAUUGAAUCAGAAGGAAACAUUAUUAGACUUAUUGGAAGUAUGACCCAGCUUAAAUUCCUUGGCAUUACAAAUGUGAAAGAAAGAGACGAGGAGGACCUAUGUGCCUCAAUUCAAGAGAUGAAGGUCCUUUCCCGCUUGUUUUUAUUUGUAUCUCAUGGAGAGGAAUUUCUUCGAGUUGACGCAUUGUCUUCACCGUCUCCCUACCUUGAUAGACUUGAAUUGGUCGGCAAACUGGAAAAGGUUCCACAUUGGUUUUGUUCGCUCCACUCUCUCACAUAUAUGAACCUGCAAGGGUCCAGACUUGAAGAAGAUUUACUACCUCAUAUUGAAGCAUUGCCCUCUCUACUUUCUCUUUCCCUUAAUAAUGCCUCUGUUAGGAAAGAGUUAUGUUUCAACAGAGGCUUUGUGAAGCUUCGGCAUUUGUGGUUAUGGAAUCUCGCAUUAUUAAAUAAGAUAACUAUAGAAAAAGGGGCGAUGCCAAAUCUCGAGUUCUUAAGCAUUCGCCGUUGCUUGACAUUAGAAACAUUGCCACAGGGUAUUGAGCACCUUACUAAACUACAACGAUUCAGAUUUUAUAUUGUUUCAGAGAAGUUUAGAGAGUCCAUAAAAGAAGGAGGUGUGGAUCAUCCAAGGAUGCUACUCGUCGACGAGAGAUGUAAGAAAUAUACGUAAGUAUCUUUUAUCCUUUCAUUGACUUUCCUAAACUUAAUGAUUUGGAAUAUUGCACUUGUGUUCAAGAAAUUGUUCUCGUACACAUCUCUGUUAAUGGAUGUAAAGCCAUAUAAAUUGUCUGUUAAUUACAAUAUUGUUUUUGUCUUAUUAUAUAUUUUGCAGAAACAAGUCCUGGGAUUGAAGAUUUUACUCAUGAGUUUGGGGUUGGGAACUUGUUCGUCUUGUUUCGACCACAAGAGUGAUGUAGAUUGGCUUCUUAUUUGCUCUUUUGAAAAUCAAACAAUACCCAAGUUGAUGUUCAUAAAAUUGCAGUUGAUGUUUUUGUGUGUGUUUAAUUUGCAUGUAAUAAAAUUCGAGUUUGCAUCUUUCACUUCAGCAAUUGGCAGAUGUAUGUCGCUGAUUAGCUUUUAAGAUUUGGACCACAUGGAUUCUUUUAUAUUCGGCAUGUUUGUACUUUCUUCUAUGUUAAUUGUGUUUGUAUUUUCAGGUUUUUUUCUUUGUACUUUCAGAUUGGCUAAUUAAAUAAUACAGAAUCUUAAUUGCUUUCCAUGAGAAGUUCUAU
rnacentral:lncRNA from 1 species